UAUCACCACCUACUCAGGGGCGUCUGCGCGGAGAACAAGACCAGCUAUGCAAUGGACAUCGCACUUCGAAGAAUGCCCGAUUUUAACUGCACACCGAAUGUUUUCUCCUAUAGCAUUCUUCUCAAAGGUCUCUGUGUUGAGACAAGAGGCUCUUGAGCUUAUUCACAUGAUGGUUGAUGCUGGAGGUAGCUGUCAGCCUAAUGUGGUGUCCUAUAGCACUGUAGUUGAUGGCCUGUUGAAAGAGGGUGAGGUGAACAAAGCUUACAGCUUACUUUGUGAAAUGAUACAUCAGGGGAUUUCACCGAUGUUGUGACGUAUAGCUCAAUCAUCUCUGGCAUGUGCAAGGUUCAAGCAAUGGAUGAGGCCGAGGAGGUCCUUCAACAGAUGUUUGAUACAGGUAUUCUGCCAAAUAUUACUACAUAUAAUAGUCUGAUACACGGAUAUUAUUCAUCAGGACAGUGCGAACAGGUGGCUCAUAUUUUCAAGAAAAUGUCUAGGAAUGGUGUUCAGCCAGAUAUUGCAACUUACACCAUACAGAUGGAUUAUCUUUGCAAGAGUAGAAGAUUUGCGGGAGCUAGAACUAUUUUUGAUUCUAUGGCCGGUAAGGACCAAAAACCGAAUGUUACUAGCUACAGUAUUCUGCUUCAUGCAUAUGCUAUGGAACAGUCAGUCCAUGAUAUGCAUUGUCUCAUUGAAUUGAUGGUAGAAAAUGGUAUUGCACCAAAUCAUUCUGUGUACAACAUACUGAUAGUUGCAUAUGCUAAGGGGAAAAUGUUUGAUGAGGUAAUGCAUAUAUUUACAAAAAUGCGGCAGCAAGGAUUGAACCCAAAUGCUGCGAGCUAUGGAACAGUAAUAAACUUACUUUGCAGUAUUGGCCGAAUGGAUGAUGCUAUGUUGCAAUUCAAUCAAAUGAUAACUGAAGAAUUAGCUCCUGAUAUCAUAGUUUUCAACACUCUUAUAAGUGGUUUUUGUUCUUGUGGAAAAUGGGAGAAGGUUCAUGAACUACUUGCUGAAAUGUUGAAUCGUGGCAUCUAUCCCGACAACGUGUUCUUCAACACAAUUAUGGAUCACCUUUGCAAAAAUGGAAGGGUUAUGGAAUCCCAAGAUCUCGCUGACCUGAUGAUACACAUGGGUUUGAAGCCUGACAUGCAUACUUAUAACACACUGAUGGGUGGAUACUUUUUCAUUGGUAAGAUGGAUGAAGUGAGGAAGUUACUUGACCAUAUGGUCUCAAUUGGCAUGGAACCAGAUGUUGUCACCUAUAACACACUGAUUGAUGGUUACUUUAAGAAUGGAAUGAUAGAUGAUGCGUUAGCUAUUUUCAGUGAAAUGCUGGACAAAAAAGUUAAGCCUUGUGUUAUCACUUAUAACACAGUGUUGCAUGGGUUAUUUCAUACUGGAAGGACUGUUGCUGCAAAUGAACUCUAUCUCAGGAUGAUUGACAGCGGAAUAUGUGUGGAUAUUGUGACCUACAACAUAAUUCUCAGUGGUUUGUGUAGAAAUAACUGUGUGGAUGAAGCACUAAGAAUGUUUCAAAACCUGUGUUCAACAAAUUAUCAACUUGAGAUCAGGACUUAUAAUAUUAUGAUUAGUGCGUUGCUUAAAGUUGGCAGGAAGGAAGAAGCCACAGGUUUGUUGGAUGGAAUCUCGGCCAAAGGAUUUGUGCUCGAUGCUGUUACGUAUAGAUUAAUGAUACAAAGCUUUUAGAAGAAGGAUCUCUGCAAGAAUGGUUUGCUGCCGACUCCCGUAUGUUAAAUGCCAUCGUUAGAAUGUUACUUCAAAAAGAGGAGGUGCCCAGUGGGGAAAUUGAUGAGAGGAGCUUCACCCUUGAAGCUUCCGCAGCUGGCUUGUUGACUGCACUUACUUCAGGGGGAAAUGUCAGCAGUAUCAGAGAUUUCUCCUAAAAAAUAUUAUUCUUUUCUGGAAUAGGGAACUGGUUGAAACCUUUUCUAGUGAUUUUAGCUAAUCGAGGGAAGAACAUUUGUUUGCAGGUUUGCUUUCCCAACCUUUUCCUUUUGUAAUGUAAUGAAUGUCAUGUUGGUCACUUCUCUUAGUAGUAAGUCCAGGAGAAACUUUGACUAGUAGUAAACGCCUGACUGGAACCAUUUUGAUGAUCGACUAUCUGUGUUUCAUCUAUAUGGCUGACUACUACUUCCAUGGAGCUGCACAUUUCGCCACAAUUAAGUACAGUUUUUAUUAGUUUUGUCAGUCUUGAAUAUAGAUACAAAUUGUUGUGCCUGUUCACUCACUGAAGUUGUUAGCAGUAAGCUGACUUCUGUAUCUAUAUUCCAUAUAUCUUUUACAUUCAAAUGGAUACAUGUGGUCCUCGAAGAACCAGUGUUCCAUCACCACUUAGAAUUUUAAUCAUAAUGAAAAUUGACGUGAUAAAUAUGUUAAGACAUGAUGUAUUAUAACAUAUAUUCUGAAAUGUAGACCAUAUAUCAGCAUUACUUCUUUAAUUUGGCACUUUUUCAAGUGGGUAGUUAUGCUUAUGUUCUUCAUAUGAUUCUGUCCUGUAGUCUGAACUCCAUUAUUGUUCAUUAUUUAAAAUACCUCAAUAUAAUAAUUCACUAGGAGAAUUGUAACCACAUGAAAAAAACAAUGACAGCUAGCUUUUUUGCAGAUGUCAUUCUUUAGCCUAAAUGACAUGAUGUAUAAGCAUGUCUAAAUCCAGUGACUAACUUAUCUUCACAUCAGUAUUCACUGAGUCAUUUGAUAAGUUAUCAUUUUUUCUGUUUUAUGAAAUGAAUAAAGAUCAUAUAAAAUUUCUUUUCUUAGUGGGUACCUGAAAGAUAUGUAAACAAGGUUGGCUCUUUCCCUUUAAUAAAUACUCCCUCCAUAAAGAAAUAUAAGAGUGUUUAGAUAACUAAAGUAGUGAUCUAAACGCUCUUAUAUUUCUUUACAGAGGGAGUAAGUAUCAAAUCUGUACUGCUACAUUUUCUUCGUUCAAGCUUUGAGUGGGUUGUCUGAUUACAAUAUUUUGAAAAAAAUUAGAUCUGUCUGAUUGAAUUAUUGUCCAGCAGUACAUCGAGAAUAAUUUGAGAUUCCAGUAAUACUCAUUUUAUUGUGAUUUUGCUCAUGUUAUUUACGGACCAGUUUUACAGCGAAUGCAUUUGUUCUUUGUCAGCAGUAUAUUUGGUUUGUCGUCUCAUGUAGCUAGACUGCCAAGUGCCAACAAAUCUAGUUACUACUGCUACUGAAACAACGCACAGUUUUUUUCUUCUCCUCAAUCAGACUCUGACUACGAGUUCUUCAAAUUCCAAACCUUUCUUUUUGCCAUGUCAUUGCAUAUUUGUUGGCUACAUAUAUUUCCUGAACGAAAGGAAAAUUUGAGCUUUAUUUCCUUGGUAGUCCUGCUAGUUGCUCUUAACAUGGAUGUGAUAAAUAGGCACCGAGAAGGAAUUUCUCAUGGGUUUCAUAAGUUCUAAUGGGCUUCUCCCUAAACUGAGUUCUUUUGAGGCUUCUAGCAGCUUACUGUGGAAAUAAGCUUACUGGCCCUAAGUACCGUACAGUACUACUUGCUUUUACAAAUAAGUUCUACAUUAGCUUGUGAAGUCCCUUUUGUGAUCAUGUUCACUUAUGUGCUGUGCUGAUGUACUGAGCGGACAUGUUACCGGUUGCAGCCAAGGAUGCGCUUCGUGAAGGUGCAAAUAAGCUUCUGAAUCAAGUUAUGACGGUGAUGAAUGCUCAGACUACAGGUGCAAGAGAUGUUGAUGUAUUAGGCAGACAUGCAGUCAGGUACAGAUAAGCUGAUGUACUGAGCUGACAUGUUGCCAGUUGCAGCCAAGGAUGCGCUUCUUAAAGGUGCAAAUAAGCUUCUGAAUCAAGUUAUGACGGUGAUGAAUGUUCAGACUACAGGUGCAAGAGAUGCUGAUGUAUUAGUCAGACAUGCAGUCAGGUACAGAUAAGCAUGCUCUGUGUGAAAGGGGCUCACAAACUUCUGAAUGAAGGAGCGAUGGUGAUGAGUUCUGAGACUGCAGACUACAGGUGCGAUGCUAUCGUUCUGGGGAUAUGCGGUACGUGCCUCAGACUUGCUGGUACAUGGCCUUCGUCCAUUGCGGUUCAGUUUUAGCUUGUUGUGUGGUCUCUGUUACUUUGCAGCUUGCGCUAAAACUCCUAGCAUUUAGAGAUAAUCUUACUAUUAUAGUUAUAGCUGUGCCAAUAAGUUUUCAUCCCAUAGCCACCGUUCGAAACAAAUGGUGUGCGGUGGGUUUCCUGCUGAUGCUAUUAAUGGGAAGGGAAUUGCAUAACUAGCAAAAGUAUCACUAUUUGGAAGAAAAGAAAAUACUUUUGGAUGGUUGAUUCAGAAAUAGGAAUUUAUAUCAUUUCACUGAAUAAUUGUGGCAUCCUGAGUGACAUAUGAACUACUAGUUGUCCAGUGAGAAAGAAACUAUACAUUUUUUAAGCUACAGCCUCUUGUUGGUGAUGUUCCUGAAUCCUGAUUCUUGGAUCGUUCACUCUACUGAUACUGAAGAAUCCAGAGAGUGGCACUGAAAAUGAUUGAAACGUACCAUUAGAAUUCAGGAGUGAUCACAAGUAAUGCAUGGUAAGUUAAAACUAAACUGUCUAAACUGUUUCAAACCGAUAAGAGCUUAUAAGCUGUUUAGUUUGAGAAACUGUUCAUAAAGGAGUGUUUCCUUGAUUUCUAGCUUGUCAACAACGAGCAAAAGAGGAUGAAAAAAUAAAAAGAAAUAUGAAGGAAAAAUAACGGCCACUUGGUAAUUAAUACAACACUUGAAGGAAAAAUUUGGGGCAGGCAACAAAGGAGAGCUAUCAAUGUAGGGAGUGAUAUAAAAUGUUAGGGAAGAAAGAAUUAGCUACUAUGUACCUGAAUGAAGAGGCCUAUUUUAGCUAGUAGAUGUUGAAGUCCAGAGCAGGGCGGCUGGGGUGUGUGCUGACUGCUCUCUCCAGGGCCGCCCUUGUGGCUUCAAGAGUGCAAUCUCCAUCAAAUGACUUACAUUCACAUACGACGGUCGUGAGACUGCUGGGGAGGUUCUCGAUUCCGAAAUCAAAAGGACCACUACCAGUUAGACCACCGGUACUGAAGAGAUAUUCAUUCGUUGCUGGGGUGAAAUCAAUCCUGAGCUUUUCUAGCUUGGGCAUGGAUCCUGCUUCAAAAAUCAUCUUUAUCCCUAACCCAGGGUACAUGCCGUAAGUGAAAUCCCUCAACAUUGGGAAUCCCAUUUCACCACUAACAAUGAGCUUCCCUUCAGACAUUUCUUUUCCUACUAGGCUCAGAGUGAGCAGAGCAGGUAAGCCUCCGAGGAUGCAGAGAUCUUCAUACCUGACUCUCUCCAGGUCAAACCGUAAUUGCUGAAGGUUGACGAGGGAACCCAUCCAAUCCGGAACCCGUGGAAAGGUUGACCGCCAGGUCGUAAGUUUUUGGAGGCCAACCGGAGUGGGGCACCAUUCUUCCAUCAAUAAGCUGUAAUCAUAGUUCCAGAUAGUUAAAGAACGAAGAUUGUUUUUCUUUUAGAAAAGGAGGAUGACCCCCGGCCUCUGCAUCUGGGAGAUGCAUACGGCCACUUUAUUGAUUAUUCUCGAGGACCUUACAAAGUAUUACAACAAUAUGCCUGAAUCCGCCAUCUUGACAACAUAUGCCACUACUCCUAUCCAAAUGAUGCAGGGGUGCUACCUGGGCCACAUACCCAGACUACUCACCUAAUCCUAUCAUCCAAAGCCAGAAGCCCCAUCCAAGCCACAUACUGGGUCUGGGGCAUAAACUGGUCUGACGCACUCACAUGUGUCGUCGCCGCCAUCUUCCACAUGUCCGUCUUCAGAGCAGAUAUUGAGGCUUCUACCUUGUGAGGUCACUCCGUCAUUGACGCCACCUUGACGCCAGACAACUACCUCCACCUGCGCGAGUCCAUCACCGCGCAUCGGGCGCCGAGUCUCCACCGCACCACGCCGCCGAGAUCCGCCGUCAUCAAUGUGAAGGAUGAAGCACCGCUCCACCAAAAAGGCGCCCGCUGGUCCCUCGAUCCCGUGUACGCCUCCAAGAAUGACGCCCCCAAGGAGGAAACGACACCAAAGCGCCGCCGUCAUCCGAUCAACUGAUCUAGGGUUUCCCCCGGAGGUAGCGGAUAGAGGUCUAGAGCUUCUUCACGGCGAUGCCUUCAAGAAGGUAAUGACACAACAGGGUGUCACCAACGCCGGCCAUGGCAUAAAGCCGAGCACAAGGUUUUCACCCGGAUCUGCUCGAAGAACCUCCAUCACAUAAUGUGUGCACGGGUCGCCGCCGAUCUGAGCCGCCGCACAACGAGCAGGCCGCACCGGCCAGAUCAGAUCUGUCCGGAGGGCACAACCCGCAUGGUGCCGACCCAACCACCAGGCCCUCCAUGCCGCCACCGCCGAUCCGAGCUCAGAUGGUGUGUCGCCGCAGACCCGGCNNNNNNNNNNNNNNNNNNNNNNNNNNNNNNNNNNNNNNNNNNNNNNNNNNNNNNNNNNNNNNNNNNNNNNNNNNNNNNNNNNNNNNNNNNNNNNNNNNNNNNNNNNNNNNNNNNNNNNNNNNNNNNNNNNNNNNNNNNNNNNNNNNNNNNNNNNNNNNNNNNNNNNNNNNNNNNNNNNNNNNNNNNNNNNNNNNNNNNNNNNNNNNNNNNNNNNNNNNNNNNNNNNNNNNNNNNNNGCCAGAAGGCAGGCCCGCCGCGCCGCCAGGCCAGAUCGGCCCUUGGCCGAGGCAGCCGCCGCGCCGCCAGGCUAGAUCGGCCGCGCCACCCAUGCCGCGGGGCGCCGCACCACCCCCACGGCGCAGGCAAGAGGGAGGACCCCCGCCACCGCCGUCAGCCCCGGGCCAUCGCCGGCGGCGUCCUUCGGCGGCGGCGGAGGGAGGGGAGGAAGGGAGGGGAGGGGACCGGCGGCGGCUAGGGAUCGAGAUCCCGCCCGAGUCGCCCGAGCGGGGGCGACGCGGGGGCUUCGGGGGCUAUUAGUUUUUCAUAUAUCAUAGAGAGAAGAUGCAAUAGCUUUCAUGCACUCCUUUGUAUCUUCAGUGUCCUCUUGAUCAUUGGUAAGAUCGAUAUUCAGCUUCCACAGAUUCUGUAGCUUGCCAAAAUCUUGAAGAAAUUGAAUUGGCUGCUUAAAGGCUCUGACUUGUUUCAACGUCUCUAGUGCUUGCAUCUUCCCAAUUCCUCCUUCCGGAAAUUUAACAAACUCGCCGAUUAAUAGAUGAACCAAUUUUUCUAGAUUAACUAUAGAUGAUGGUAACUCGGAUACCCCUGUGGCUGUUAGGUCCAACAUCUCUAAGCAAGAUAGAUGUCCUAUUUCUUCUGGGAGCUCACAUGCUCUUGUCCAAGAGAGGUUCAGGUACCUCAGCUGGAAUAACCUCCCAAUAUUUGCAAGAUGGUCGUCUCCCAAGUUACUGAAACCUCCAAAGUCCACAACACGCAAAUGCUUGAACUCAUCUAGAGAAGGGAUUGUCCACAGUAAUCCAAAUACUUUAAGUGAUCGGGCAUGAGACAAUACCAAGUUAAUCCCUGGAAAAGAAUAGCCUUCUUCUGUAGCUUGGAGAGAGAAUCGACGAACUUUCAUUUGUGUCCGAUCAAUAGUUGGACAUGGAACACCAACGACAGUAACAAAGUUAUCUUCGACAGACUUGGAUAUGAUGUAGUCCAUAACUGUUUCAUGAACUUGACAGCUUUUAACCUUACCAUACUGGUCUAUCUUCACAGGUUGGAUCAAACUCCUAUUCAGGAGCUCAUUAAAACACCUCUCUCCUAACUCAUGUGCUGCAUUUCUUUGUUCUCCAUGAAAGAAUCCUUCAGCAGUCCAUCUCCAUAUCAGGUCCUUCAUCUUAAUGGUUGACCCUUUUGGGAACAUGUUGAGGUGCAAGAGACAAGUUUUGACACGAGGAUGAAGAUCAAAAUAAUGAAGUGACAAAAUCUUCAUCAUCCUUUCGACUAUAUCACUUGUUUCAAGUGCACACCCAAUUGAAUCUGCCAUGUGAUUCCAUAGAUGCUCUGUUCCUUCUGUGUUAGCCAACAAACCAGAUGUAACUAAGAUUGCCAAAGGUAAGUCAUCACAUUUUUCCAAUAUUUUAUCAGAAACUUCUUCAAGGUGUGGAUGGCAGUCGUCAUCAGAGUUGAAUAAUCUUUGGUGAAAUAGCAGUCUUGAAUGUACCAUACCAAGAAGUCUUAUAUGGUAAAUAUGCCCAUUGAACCAUGACCGGCAUAAUUCGGCGAUAUCUUCACACGGGCUAGUGGUGAUUAUUAUGCCACAGCUUGUCAUGGGGAAUGCAUGCUUAAUGACAUCCCAUGUUUCUUUCUGGCAUAUACCGUCAAGGACAAUUAAGUAUCUGCACACGGAUUUGUGAGUGAUAUUAGUGUGGCUUUAACAUAAUGACAAAUCACCGAAAGGAAAAUAAAGAAAACAUUGUUCUUCUUGACAAGGGUAGGAGUAUAAAAAGAAAAUGAGAAACCUGACGUGGGUGAUUAAAUGGUACUGAAGAUGGUAUUAAUGCCUCCAUUUUUCGAGAAGCUAUCAUUUGGGACAUUUGCAAGGUCUCUAAAAUACAAUUCUGACCACCACUCCACCCAUUCGAAAUUAAAUUUGAGUUGUGUUUUGAUUUGUUUUAGGAACUUAGUACCCCUUGAUCAACAAUUACUCUAUUAACACAUAGACAUUAAUAUUAUUGGCUGGCCGCCUAUCCCUUGUCAAGCUACCAGCUAGUUUUAUAUAUUGCCUAGUUGUACAUAAAAUUUAUCUGUAUUGCUAAUGGACCACACNNNNNNNNNNNNNNNNNNNNNNNNNNNNNNNNNNNNNNNNNNNNNNNNNNNNNNNNNNNNNNNNNNNNNNNNNNNNNNNNNNNNNNNNNNNNNNNNNNNNNNNNNNNNNNNNNNNNNNNNNNNNNNNNNNNNNNNNNNNNNNNNNNNNNNNNNNNNNNNNNNNNNNNNNNNNNNNNNNNNNNNNNNNNNNNNNNNNNNNNNNNNNNNNNNNNNNNNNNNNNNNNNNNNNNNNNNNNNNNNNNNNNNNNNNNNNNGCGAGGCGACGCCUUAGACACUUAUUAUUAGGCGCUAGGGGUACUAAUAUGGCAGCCAUGAAUGGACAUGUAACUGAUUCAUACCUUGAAUUUCCUGGUUGUUGAGCCCACAUAGCAUCCAUUCCUCCCAUCUUGUUUCCCAUUUCUGCCUUGAUUUGGAGUCACGGGUGUGUUCCCCUCUCUCUCCUGCCUCUGUUUACCCCCUCUCUCCCGCCCAAUUUCUCUUCCCUCCCGCCAAUUCUCUUUCUGGCGCGCGCCAGCUGCUGGUUCCCGCUCAACCUGCCCACGCAUGUCCAGGGCGUCCAAAAUCAACUAAAGCGGCGCCUUAUCCGCCUAGGCAACGCCUUGGACGCCUCAACAACACAAGGCGGACGCCUUAGAUAGAAAACUAAGGCGACGACGACGCCUUGACGUCCCCGAGCGCUCUGACGCCUAAGCGUCGCCUAGGCGACGCCUUGAAAACAUAGAUUGGAGUCCUCCCACUGGACCGAAAAACCCAUAUAUUCUCAUGGGAAUGGGUGGUGCUGAACAAGCAGGCAGGCUUUUCCUUGAAAUGAAAUAAAGAUCUAACUUUAUUCCAGUAGUGGUUUCCGCAAAUGAAGAGAAAACCUCACAGAACCAAAACAACUACGCCGUCUAACACAAACUUACAACUUUUUUGAAAUAUUUUUUCAUACACAAGCCAUGCUCCUGAUUCAUUUUUCAAUGAAUACAUGACAUUCCUGUUUGAAAUCUGUACACAUAAUUUCUUCCUAGUUGACUGACAUUCACUUGGAAUACAUUGUAGAUUUACAGUAUGAUUUUUACAUAUGUAGUAAUCUUGAUCAUGCGAUAUAUGUCAUAAUGGGAAAAUUGAUAAAUAGUGGAACGGGCGCUCUUUGCGCAUGUUGAUUCUUACGCACGUCACAUGGUCCCCCCAUUCUAUUUUACUUAAUAUUUUCGGCAUGAACAAAAUACAAAAAGUUGACCAUUAAAUUUUCUAACAACAUGCUAAAUUAAUUUUCUUAGUUUCAGAAUUACUUUGAUGACAACUUUACAUGCAUAUCCCCUUUUCAUGUGACAUAUGACAUGUCCAAAUAACUUGCAUUGUCAACAAGAGGACAACGAGUAGAAAGGAGUAGAGACAAUACCUUUUGUCUAGUAGCGAUUCAUUGAUAUCAAUAAUCAGUUGUUGCACGCUCGCUGCUUUCUUUAAUUCACCGGUAAGUUCAAGGAGAAGUGCUGUCAGGGCACUUGUCAUGUCUGGAUUUGGCGACAUUGAUAUAAAAGGCCAGUAGUCAAAAUCUUUUACUCUGAGCUCUUCAUACACUUGGUUCGCAAGAGCUGUUCCUCCAACUCCAACAAUGGCGACCAGCUUGGGUUGUUUUCGUGUUUUCAACUCACAUGGGGCCUCCCCUUCUGCCUGUGGCGACUCACACUCGUCUUCUUCAGCAGGCGCUGGCUCACAUACAUCCUCCUCUUCUACCUUCAGCGACUCACACUCUUCUUCUUCCUCUUCCACCUUGGGCGACUCACAGUCGUCUUCUUCUACUUCUUCCACCUGCAGAGACUCACAUAAGUCCUUGUCAGUGAGCGGUGACUCACAUCCAUCCUCCUCUUCAACCAAUGGCAACUCAGAUACGUCCUCGUCUUCAGCCAGCGGGGACCCACACCCGCCCUCCUCUUCAGCCAGCAAUGACUCAUGUCCACAAUCCACUUCAGCCAGCAGUGGCUCACAGUCAGCCUCAUCUUGAGUGAGCAACUUGAUCACCUCAGCUUUGGGCCCAUCUUGCUUCGUCAAGAGCUCAAACAUGGCAAUAGCUGCAGGGUCAACACAGUUGCAUGGACGUUGUUGGAGAAUGUCCCACGGGUCCCAUACCUUCCAUUUCUGUUGCUCACCCUGUUGAUCUGUUCCUUGAAACCAUCGCCGGUCCGACGACGGGCCUUCAUCUUCCCCAGCAAAUCCUUCAUCUUCUCCAUGAACAGGUCGUGGUCCGGCUUCACAUCCUCGUCGUGGAUCGUUCGCAUGAAGUCGUCGAUGGAGUCUUCCAUGUCAUAGGAGAGCUCCCGCGCCUCGUUCAUCCACGCCUUGUCCUGCGCAUGAGGGUCCUCCUCCCCCGACAUGUCCAGCAGAGCCGCGUCCAUGGCGGAGAGCUCGUGGGCGAGGGAUUUGAUCUCCUCGCCGCGCGCCAUCUCGAGGCGCUUAUACUCGUCGCCCAUCAGCGUGGCCAGCUUCCCUAUGACAGGUUUGAGGGCUCCCGUCACCGCGCUCACCGGAGCCGCCUCCAUCUCCAUUGCUGGGACAAAUUGCGGAGCUUUGCUACAUCUACAGGCGAUUUGUCACGGAAGGGGAGUUAUGGACUGACAUGACCCAGUUAGAAUCAAGGGGUGGGGCUAGCUAAAAUCAAGGAGGAGUAAAUUCGUGGUGGAGAGGAGGACACAUCUCCCCGUGAAAUCAACAUGUAGCACUCUUUCCGUAAGUGUAGGAUUUUCGGGCGUGAGCUUUGCUACAUCUACAGGCGAUUUGUCACNNNNNNNNNNNNNNNNNNNNNNNNNNNNNNNNNNNNNNNNNNNNNNNNNNNNNNNNNNNNNNNNNNNNNNNNNNNNNNNNNNNNNNNNNNNNNNNNNNNNNNNNNNNNNNNNNNNNNNNNNNNNNNNNNNNNNNNNNNNNNNNNNNNNNNNNNNNNNNNNNNNNNNNNNNNNNNNNNNNNNNNNNNNNNNNNNNNNNNNNNNNNNNNNNNNNNNNNNNNNNNNNNNNNNNNNNNNNNNNNNNNNNNNNNNNNNNNNNNNNNNNNNNNNNNNNNNNNNNNNNNNNNNNNNNNNNNNNNNNNNNNNNNNNNNNNNNNNNNNNNNNNNNNNNNNNNNNNNNNNNNNNNNNNNNNNNNNNNNNNNNNNNNNNNNNNNNNNNNNNNNNNNNNNNNNNNNNNNNNNNNNNNNNNNNNNNNNNNNNNNNNNNNNNNNNNNNNNNNNNNNNNNNNNNNNNNNNNNNNNNNNNNNNNNNNNNNNNNNNNNNNNNNNNNNNNNNNNNNNNNNNNNNNNNNNNNNNNNNNNNNNNNNNNNNNNNNNNNNNNNNNNNNNNNNNNNNNNNNNNNNNNNNNNNNNNNNNNNNNNNNNNNNNNNNNNNNNNNNNNNNNNNNNNNNNNNNNNNNNNNNNNNNNNNNNNNNNNNNNNNNNNNNNNNNNNNNNNNNNNNNNNNNNNNNNNNNNNNNNNNNNNNNNNNNNNNNNNNNNNNNNNNNNNNNNNNNNNNNNNNNNNNNNNNNNNNNNNNNNNNNNNNNNNNNNNNNNNNNNNNNNNNNNNNNNNNNNNNNNNNNNNNNNNNNNNNNNNNNNNNNNNNNNNNNNNNNNNNNNNNNNNNNNNNNNNNNNNNNNNNNNNNNNNNNNNNNNNNNNNNNNNNNNNNNNNNNNNNNNNNNNNNNNNNNNNNNNNNNNNNNNNNNNNNNNNNNNNNNNNNNNNNNNNNNNNNNNNNNNNNNNNNNNNNNNNNNNNNNNNNNNNNNNNNNNNNNNNNNNNNNNNNNNNNNNNNNNNNNNNNNNNNNNNNNNNNNNNNNNNNNNNNNNNNNNNNNNNNNNNNNNNNNNNNNNNNNNNNNNNNNNNNNNNNNNNNNNNNNNNNNNNNNNNNNNNNNNNNNNNNNNNNNNNNNNNNNNNNGAGGAGGACACAUCUCCCCGUGAAAUCAGCAUGUAGCACUCUUUCCGUAAGUGUAGGAUUUUCGGGCGUGAGCUUUGCUACAUCUACAGGCGAUUUGUCACGGAAGGGGAGUUACAGACUGACAUGACCCAGUUAGAAUCAAGGAGUGGGGCCAGCUAAAAUCAAGGAGGAGUAAAUUCGUGGUGGAGAGGAGGACACAUCUCCCCGUGAAAUCAGCAUGUAGCACUCUUUCCGUAAGUGUAGGAUUUUCGGGCGUGAGCUUUGCUACAUCUACAGGCGAUUUGUCACGAAAGGGGAAUUACGGACUGACAUGACCCAGUUAGAAUCAAGGGAUGGGGCCAGCUAAAAUCAAGGAGGAGUAAAUUCGUGGUGGAGAGGAGAACACAUCUCCCCGUGAAAUCAGCAUGUAGCACUCUUUCCGUAAGUGUAGGAUUUUCGAGCGUAAGUGUAGCACUCUUUCCAGGUAAGGGCGCGCGCGUGUGUUGUGUAUGGAUGCGGAAGCAGUGUAGGCUGAGUAGAUGACCCUUCCCUGCGCCUUUAUAGCAUUUCUUAUCACCCCAUGUUCAUCGCAUCCCUCUUUGAUUUGACUGGCAUAAGUAUGCUCCUUCCAAGCACCAUCAUGUGUGUGCCUACCUGCUGGUAGUACUCCCACUUGCUCUAUCCAAUUAAUUAAGUCCAACUGGCCUCGUGCCACUGGCUGAGUGGAUGCAUGCAUGCUUCCCAAGCCUGUCGUUACCUCCACAGCUAGCACACAGAGCUUGACCUUUUCUGUCGAUAUACAUGCAUGCUCCUGAACAAGUUAAAUAUGAAUCCUUAUCAUCAUGUAUGCAUGUGGAAAAGGAAGAGGCAAAGAUGCUUUGGGCUUUUCCUGCUGAUGACUGCUCCUGCUCGUGUUAGGUAGGGAUUUGUUUUCCUAUCUUAGUUUACACGUACCUGCAUACUACUUGAUUCAGAAUGUCUAUAUUUUUUUGAGAAUUAUAAAGUCUAUUUCAUUUACGCCCAUUGAUUCUAGUAAAAAUAUAUGAUCAUUUUUCGACAGGCCGAGGAGGUACAUAGGUGUAUACAAAGAGGUGAUCCUGAGUUUCUCCUUCUGAGGCGUUGCAUAGCGAGCAGUUCAGAUCCUCCUCGUCCUCAACCCUUAUCAUGAACAGAAGAAGCCAGAUUAUUUGCUGUUCGCAACUAACAUAAGAAAAAGAACAUGCAUAUGCCAUACAAGCAAGUUUGAAAAGCCAAGCUGUCUUGACCCAUACUACACCGCCACACAACUUGGGCAUUUUCCAUUGGUAUUUGCUCUCGAACAAGUUGUGUAAUUAUUGACUAGCGAGUGUAUAUAAACUGUUUUAUGUGUGCUUGAGAAGGGCUUGUGCAAGAUGUUCGGGUUAUUGUGAAGAUGAAAAAACCUUCUACCAGAUGACAAGGUCUUUGUAGUUUUGGAAUUCUUGGGUGGCUUCCAUGAAACAUCAUCUUUUGUUGAGGUAUGCGGUGUUUCACAUAUUUCUGCUGCUGUAGUUUCUUAAGAGAUAUACAUAGACCAAUUUCAUCCGAUAAAAUAGGUGCUUGCCUUGUAAAGGACAGUGGCAUUUGACAGUUGUUGUUUGGAGACUUCAUAUGAUAUUCGGUACACCCUUAGAUGGAGAGAAACACAUGUUGUAUGGAGUGCAUCCAACAUAUCUGAAAGCUUAGCAACAACUUAUAGGAAAGCUUAACAAAAAACUUACCUGCAGUAUGGAGUGCAUCCAACAUAAAAUAGAUAGCAUGCAAAUUUUGAUACUUGAGUGUUAGGUAUCUGAUCCAUUCAGUAUCUUCCAACAGGUAGCCUUGGUGAUUCCAACAUGUAGUAAUCAGCUUAUGCUUCUUAUUGUGCAGCUGACUUUUUUGCUUUUUCUUGUUAGUGCCUUGACGGCUGUUUAGUUUUGAAGGUGCAUGGCAAUGGUAUUACUGAAGGGGUGAUUAGAGUUAAUAGUCGGGGCCUUGAGAGAGAUAAUACUUGCAUGCGACGAGAAGGUCAAUAUCUUUUUUUUUUCGAGCCAAUAGAAGGUUAAUAUCUAAGUACGAGGGUUUGUAAAUUUGUAAACUUUUCCGUUAUUAGAUGAUCCUAUGCACACAUCUCAUCUCAUCAAAGGUCCACUCAACAUGCAUGGGAAAAUAUUUUUCAUUAUAUUAUGCCGCUUAUAUUCAAAAUAUUUUUUGACUACACAAUUAUCAAAUACUCUAUAUAUUGUUCAACUAUUCAUGUUUCAUACAAUCAAAUCACUCGAAAUAUAUUGCAAUCAAUUCCAGCAGCAACGUGAACUCACGCAGGGUCUAACUGCUAUUCCCACCGUCUCACAGUAUAAAGUCAGUGUAGUACAUCGGACGUCCGCCAUGCUUCUCAUCGGAUGGCCUACCUGAUAGAAGCCAAAAAAUCAGUAGUAUGAUGCCUAGUGAUGUCCUUGUGCUGCAAAAUCCAAUUUUUUUUAGCAUCAGUACAGACGCAAGCGCUCAUGUACGCGCGCAUACACUCAUCCAUAUGAACGCACACACGCACACCCUACUCCCACUAAAAGCGCAUCGCCGGAAAUCCUGAAAUAAAUCCAGAAAUAAUGCGAGCACCAAGAUUUGAACCCUGAUGGGUUGAGGAUACCACUGUCCACCUAACCAACUCAACCACAGGUUGAUUCGCUGCUGCAAAAUCCAUGGAGUAAACAACUUUUAGAUCUAGAAAGCCAAGGAACAACAAGAAUAAUCAGUAGGGCUGUAAGAAAAACUCGAGGCUCGUGAGCCGCUUGAGAUCGACUCGUAUUUUAACUCGACUCGAGAUCAACUCGAAAAGAAAUAAGCUGAGUAUGAGCACUUUAUAUAGCUUGAUCGAGAAACGAGUUGAUCUUGAGUCAGUAUUGGCUCGCUCGAUUUUAGCUCAUCAGCUCGAUAUCAUAAAAGUAUAUUAAAUAAUUCUCAUGUCUAUUACAAAGAAUUAGGAUCAUCCAUUGUCAUAUAUGUUCUGUACGUCUUUUUUUUUCUUCAUUUCACUUUAACUAGCAAACAUGGAAAUUGAGAGUGGAGAAAAUUUAGCCUCAAUAUGACACGUGGCCAACCGUGUGUUCCAUGUCUUGUUAUAUUGGCCAAAGUUUGAGAGCAAACACAUCUUAGUUCUUCUAUCCAUGAUCUCUUUUUAUUAAACCCGGUGAUUUCCCCGCGCAUUGCUGCGGGAUUUUAAAAAUUAAUUUUGGAUACAUUCUAUAUGCAUGAAUGAAAUGAUCUAAAUUGAAAGCUGUUAUUUUCAAAAGUAAUUAUAUGUGAACAAAAAAUAUGCAUGUACGUUGGACUAUUGGAGAUGGAACAAUUAAAUUGGGGUAUGCAUGUGCUACAAAAAGAGUUCUAGUUGAUGAUGACUUGGCACAUUUGGUGAUGUGGAGGGCUGCAUGUUAAAAGAAUUAGAUUUAGUGGGGAUCGACUAUUUAUGUAUUAUAGAUACUAGUCUUCCGUUGAGAAAGAAUACGUCAAAAUAUAUAGUGAUUUCUUUUUGUUGUGGCCAUCUUACUUUAAAAUUUGCCUCAAAAUAAUUUUAAAAACCAUCUUAUUUAGCUCGAAACUAACUCGAGAUCGAUUCGAGAUCAUUACGAGCUGAGCACGAGCCACUUUAUAUAGCUCGACCUUGAGCUUGUACAUUUUGAGCGAGCUCGAAUUUUAGUAUAAGUUGAGCUGAGCCUAGACCAACUCGCUCAAACUCGACUCGUUUGCAGCCCAUAAUAAUCAGUUGCCAAUUUUUUUUUCUUGUUAGAAAGAAGGCCUACGUCCGGGGUUAAACUGAUGACACUCUGGUAAACAAGAAAUACGAAAGAAACACGGUACAAGGUACAUGCUGUUGAAGGAGCAGCUUACAAGACAUGAAACAAACCAAGCAACCUAAAAAUACAAAAGAAACGCCGUUUGAUCGUCGAGGUCCUCAACCACCAAGCGAAACACCAAUGACACAGAGGUAGAUGAUGAAUACAAAGCGAGCAUUGCGCAGGACGGAGAUCACGCCAUCGUCUACCACAAUAUGACCGGAUCAAGCCGAGAUGACAUCCGUAUCCACCGUAGAAAAGAGCCCAUCUGCCCUCUCGCACUGGAUCGGAGGGCGCCGCACCAUCGGCCGGUAGAGUCACUCACCCCUGAGCUUGAACACCACCACCGCCCACGGAGACCACUUAAUUGGGAUGGCGUAAGCUACCAGAGUGGCACCUCGGAAGGAGCCAACUCAGCCCAGAUCCGGCGACCAAAGGCUGCCACGAACUGAAUCUGGAAGCAGAGCACUUGGCACGACAACAGCAACAUGCAGAUCAUACACAGGAGAAGGCUGGGACUACCCACAAUAGGAAUAAUAUACUCCUACAUGGUAAACAUCACAUUUAUUUAGGUAAAAAUAAAUGAUGUGACAUGUAAUUAAUGAAGAAAAAGAGACAUGUGGUAACAUAACUAAUUACUGUAACAUCACACAUAUUAAUCUACAACCUAAUAAAUGAAGUGAUGCAAGACACAAUACAUAUGUUACUACCCAUUGUGAAGGUAGUAACAUAGACUAAUAACAUAUGCAUGUUACUACUCUAAGUUACUCCCCACCCCACUGUGACUAGUCUAAAACGCUCUUACGCCGGCCAUCACUUGCUGACCACUCGCCGCCCUUGCGGCCGAAAGGAGAAGACAACACCAGCGCAUGCCACCCAUCGCCCGAGGUCGCCGCCUCAGAUCCAGGAAAAACCACCCUCUCCUGUUGCCCACCUGCAACUGGCCACAAUUGCGCAGCCAGCCACCCCGUCCGCCGCACCAGCGCAACACCACUUGAGCUUGCACCCAAAGCCCACCGCCGGCCAAGGAGCACGCAGCUCCGGCCUCUAUGUAAAGAUCUGAGGAUGACUUCGGCUAGGAAUUGAAUUCAAUGGGAAAUAGAGUAGAAAAGUACAGAUUAGGUGUGGUUUACUUUGAUGCAUGGGCGAAAAACUUGUACUACGACAUCAAACCGAGACGAACUGGUACGCCACCAAAUGGUGAACACUAUCUAAUUGGCCACGGACCCCCGACCCCCGCGUCGCCUAGGAGGCGACUCGGGGGAACCCUAGCCCGCCGCGCCGCCACCCCCUCUCCCCGGCUCCCCCUGCCGCGCCGCCGCCGGAGGAAACUGUCGGGCGAAGCCCGCGCGGCGGACGGCGGCGGCGGGGCUUCCCGCUCGCGCGCGCGGCGUCGUUCCCGACGGCGAGGGCUCCAGGUGGGGGAGGCUCGGCCUCCGGUGCUNNNNNNNNNNNNNNNNNNNNNNNNNNNNNNNNNNNNNNNNNNNNNNNNNNNNNNNNNNNNNNNNNNNNNNNNNNNNNNNNNNNNNNNNNNNNNNNNNNNNNNNNNNNNNNNNNNNNNNNNNNNNNNNNNNNNNNNNNNNNNNNNNNNNNNNNNNNNNNNNNNNNNNNNNNNNNNNNNNNNNNNNNNNNNNNNNNNNNNNNNNNNNNNNNNNNNNNNNNNNNNNNNNNNNNNNNNNNNNNNNNNNNNNNNNNNNNNNNNNNNNNNNNNNNNNNNNNNNNNNNNNNNNNNNNNNNNNNNNNNNNNNNNNNNNNNNNNNNNNNNNNNNNNNNNNNNNNNNNNNNNNNNNNNNNNNNNNNNNNNNNNNNNNNNNNNNNNNNNNNNNNNNNNNNNNNNNNNNNNNNNNNNNNNNNNNNNNNNNNNNNNNNNNNNNNNNNNNNNNNNNNNNNNNNNNNNNNNNNNNNNNNNNNNNNNNNNNNNNNNNNNNNNNNNNNNNNNNNNNNNNNNNNNNNNNNNNNNNNNNNNNNNNNNNNNNNNNNNNNNNNNNNNNNNNNNNNNNNNNNNNNNNNNNNNNNNNNNNNNNNNNNNNNNNNNNNNNNNNNNNNNNNNNNNNNNNNNNNNNNNNNNNNNNNNNNNNNNNNNNNNNNNNNNNNNNGGCGGCCCUCUGCUCCGUCUCGCGCUCCUCCUCCGCCAGCCCUUGCAGCGCCGCGCGGUGGGCCUGCAUCCGGCGGCAGCUGCGUCUGGCCAGGCGCGGGCAAGCCGGGGCGGCGGCCCCGGGAUCGGCGGCGGCGCUGGUUCCUCCUCUCCCUCGUCGGGAGAGUAGGGGGCGGCGCUAAGGCUGGCCAUCUUCGAUCUGGUGCGGCGCAUCUGGUGGCGUGCGGCGUGCCUGUGGGUUCGGCCGUGAGGACGGCGAGCCGUAGGCGUGCCAGAUCUGGAGGUAUUGCCCCUCUCCCUUCCAUGCAUCCCUUCCCAGUCCCCGGGUCGGUUUGGAUCCUGCCGGAUCCACCUCCGGUGUGUUUUGGUGGAGCAGAUCGGUGUCCGGGGGAAACCUUGGCUGCCUUAGGCUGACCGGCAGCGGCGACGCCGAUUUUUGGCGCCGCUUUCCUCCUUGGGGGCGUUGCUGAGGGCACCAUCUCUCCUCUCCAACCCAUGUCCGGGUGAAAGCCCAAGAUCCGGUGCGGAUCGGGCGUCGGCGGCGCCCUAGGCACCGUAACCUUCUUGGAGGCGACGCCAAGGACAUUGGGAUCGGAUGGAAGGGUCUACAGGUGAGGGGUGGGGGUGUGCUGCCUCCCUUCGGUGGAGCGGUGUUUCGUUCUACAUAUUCUUGGCGGCGGCUCUUGGCGGCAUGGAGCAGCGGAGGCUUGGCGUCAGAUGUGUGGUGACGGACACGCGCAGGAGGUCGACGCUGUCUGGCGUCGUGGUGGCGUCGGCGGCAGCGAGACCGAGCAAGGCAGUUACAAUAGUACAGCUCUGAAGAUGGAUAUGUGGUAGGUGGUUGUGGCGGCCUCAUACCCGGCGGGCGGCCUGGUUGAGGAGCACGCCGGACUGGUGGGUGCCCAUACCCGGCAGGCGUCCAGGUUGGGACCUCAGGUCUUAGAUGUUAGGUUUGGCUGCGAGGUCUGUUUGGUAUUAGGCCCAGACCAUCAGCGCCCCUUCAUCAGUUAGAUAGGAGUAGCGACAGAGGUUGCGAAGAUGGUGGCUUUGGUCUUACUGUUGUACGACUUUGUAAGGUUUUGUGCUAAUAAUUAAUAAAGUGGCCGUAUGCAUCGACCAGAUGCAGAGGCCGGGGGUAUUCCUCCUUUUCGAAAAAAAAAAACCAAAUGACGACUGCCACCACCGUUUAUGCUUCGAGCCAACACAGAUAACCUCCUUCUCUGAUGAACAACCUUGGCAAGAAAUAAAAUAUACGUACGCUUGAUUGCAGCGAUCAUGAAUUUUGAGCGUCUACUUUUCUAGAUCGAUGCAACUAUGCAUGCAUUGUGCUUUGAAAGCAAAUCGUCCAGGUAAACGAUUCCAGCCGGGAGACCGCUACGUCUCCCGCCGGUCGCACGCUGCCUGUUCGAUCAUGGCCCAUCGCGUGUCUCACAAACGCCUCGCACAUGACGUCCUCUGCCUCUUUUUCUUCUCUUCGCACCGCUCCACCGCAUGUCCAUUCCCAGGCCUUAUCUCUUCGCGUCACAUAUCCUCUUUCUCCUCUUCGCUACUGCUGGCCAGUGCUAGGGGCAAUCGCCGAGACGCCGACACGGGAAAGAGAGCUCGCCGUCGUCGACGUGGCACGACAACCUACUACUGUAAUCAACUCCCUCCCUCGGGCGCCUCAAACCGCUAUGCUUGGUCGUCAUGCCCAUGCCCGCCCAUGGGAAGCUGGUUCACUAUGAUGACCAUGGUAAUUGUUAGGCAAUAAGCCACGGCUCGGGACGGGACAGGCGCGGUGCGUGUACGUGCGUGCGGUGGCCGCGUCGGGUCCGACCGUGGUGGGCUCGGGCGAGAGUGUGUGCGUGCAGUCUCGUGUGUUAGUGCAAGUUUGUUAGAUCCAUGCAUGCAUGGGUUUGUUAGCCCGCAUGACCAGGCUGGGUGGCCGUUGAGGAGAGCUGCACUAGCGGCGGACGUAGUGCGCGUAGUUAGCGCGGCCGGCCGAGCAUGCAGGUCGUGCACGCGCGAGUAGGAGGGGUGGGCAGUGCCCUGUGUGAGUGUGCCGGGGACUUAAAUACCUCUGUACUGCUGUAUGUUGUAAUCUGAGCCGUGUGUAGCCAUGUAGCCACUGUAAGGAAGAAAAUGAUUGAGGCGUUCGUGUGCCGGCCGGAAAAUCUUGUGUCCGUGUUCUUCUUCUUCCACCUCCGUUCGAGUGAGAGGAGAGGUAUCUAGAGGGCUGCGGUUCCAACAGUAAUUACAAUGACGACUACCGGAGAUGCUACGGCUGGCGACGAUUAGUGCUAUAACCGCUGCCCCCGCAUGCUACAAACAGUGGCAACCACGAUGAUCGCGAGCUACGACGGCGGACCAGGGCGAACCCACAUGACACCGGUGCUGGAAGCGACCAUCGCGAGUGUUGGAACCGGCUACCGCAGAUUCUUGGACCAUGCGCUACAACUACGGGGACCAUAUGUAGGUGAAGUUGCAUGGCGUCAAUGUGCUGCACAUGCUGCGAUCGGCAUGAGACGGAGCUGCAACCAGUGUGGCAAUUGCUACGGCCGAUGCCAUUUUUUGCUGGAACCAGAGAAAGCAGGGGUUGCGAUCGGCGCACGGCGGAGCUGCAAUAAGCAACACUAAAUGCUGUGACGAGCGCCUUUUUUGCUUGAACUACAGAAACCACAGGCUGCGACCAGCGGGUGGAGAAGUUGCAACAUGCACUAUAAAAUGCUUCUACCAGUGGAUAGGAAAGCUACAGCUAGCUUAUGAAAAAGCUUCACGUGGAGACGACGAAGCUGGGGCCGCCACCCCGUAACCACAAAAAACUGCAACCGGCAAAUGAAAAACUACAAAAACCGGCUUCUGAAAAAGCUUCAACUGGAGACGGCUGAUUAAUUGCGAUGCUGGAACUCCACCCGGCGAUGUUGCAACCUGCAGGGAGUGGAGCACAGCGAGCUGCAAGGCGAUGCGAUGGCUGUGGCGAGUGGCGACCGGCGGCCUCUACUAUGAGCGGCCGUGACCCCACAGCCGCUAGAUGACAGGUGAAACGAAAUAUUGGAGGAGUCCGUGUGGGAGAGGUGGAUGGAUGCACGUACUCCAUCCAACGGCUACAAAUCACUUGGACAGAGAUCGGAUGAGCAUCCAUCAGCAUGGCGUGAAAUCUCUCUUCCGUUGAUGCCCAAAGAUAGUAGAACUCGGAGUACGGCUCCCAAAACCUUUCAAAAGACCGCGAUCCCCGCCGACCGACCCAAUCGUGAAGAGAAAGAAAAGGCAGCGAGCUCGGCGUGCUCGCUACUGCGGCGUCGAUGGGCGACCACUACCAGACGCUGGGGCUCGGCCGCGACGCCAGCAAGGCCGACAUCAAGAACGCCUUCUUCCGCCUCGCCCACCGCCACCACCCCGACCACCACACCCACGCCAACGCCGCCGCCCGCGCCGAGGCCGCGCUCCGCUUCCGCCAGGUCAAGGACGCCUACGACGUGCUCCACGACGACCGCCGCCGCGCCGAGUACGACUCCUGGUUCCGCUCCUCCUCGCGUUCGAGUGGCUACGAGCGCCGUCACGGACACGGACACGGCGGGAACUCUUCCUCGUCGUGGUCUGCGAACGACCACAGGCACCGUCGCGAACACGGCGGCGCCACCUCGUCGGGUUCGAGGGCUCCGCCUCGGCCGAGAGGCCGCUCUAGACUCGACAACGUGAUAUUCUGGUAAGAGACAUGCGUUCUUUGGGUCUAUAUAUAGAGACUGGAUUUUCUACUCCCUGGUGCACCUACACCCGCAUGAACAGUACAUUUGAAAAAAAUACAAAACAAAAUUGAAAAAAUCUGAAAUUUUGGGGCAUCAAACUAGAUCAAAAGUUUUUGCUUCUUGCAAAAUUUCGUGACCAAAUAACAUUUGAGGAGUCCUCAGCAAAAGUAUCAAAAUUUGUGUUCAAAGUUUUGUUCACUUUUCAGGAGUGAUUUUGUUUUUUUUUGCUGAGGGCUCCUCAAAUGUUAUUUGGUCACGGAAUUUUGCAGAAAGCUAAAACUUUUGAUUUAGUUUGAUGUCAAAAAAAUUCGGAUUUUUUCGACUUUGUUUCAUCUUUUUUUCAAGUGUAUUGUUCAUGCGGGUGCACCUACACCCGGGAGCUGCCACACCUUUCUCCUAUAUAAUCGCGUGCGUGGUGAGAGAUCCGGCAAGAUCAGACGAGUUCUCUGUAAUUUUCAUGCCCUAGCACUGAUUCAGUGCCUGAAUGCUGACGACUCACCAUGAUAACUAUGUACAUGUAUGUACCGCAGCGCAUUUGUAGGUCUAUCAGUGCUCGGAGAAAUUGGAGAAAGGUGGAAGAAAGAUCCGGAAAAGAUGGAACGAGAUUUGGAAAUGAUGAGGACAGCCUUCCUGAAAACGAAGCAACAGUGGGAAAAUCUGAAGCGAGAAUGGGAAAAGAGGAACCCCUGGGUAAGUGCAUGCAUCAUACAUAGGCCGGCCGGGGGUCAGAAUCAGAUACCUUUGCCUCCUUUUUGCAACGUGCUAUCAGUACAAGCACAGGUAAUGUUGUGUCGUUGUGAUGAACUAAUCGUGUGCGUUGCGCUGCGUAUUGUGCAGAAAUCAUGGAGGGAGUGGAGAGAGAAGGACAAAGAGAUGAACUAGUGGACGGACAUAUUCAGAUCUUCACUUCAGGCAUACAGCUAGAACAGUUCAGAUUUCAAAGUCCCUACACGUCAAGAGGACGACUUGGCAUGUCUUUUGGUGUGGCGGCGUUUAUGUUACUUUACCUUUGUGAGGGAAGCCGAGGGGAUUUCUCCCUACUUGUAUGUUUAUAAACUAAAAAAUUAUCCGUGCAUUGCAACAGAGGAUACACGGUUGAAGUGCGGUCAUGGUUGUGAAGCAUGGCUUCACUAUUGUAAACCAAGACGAUUUCAUGGCAGCGUCAAAUGGGUUGUUGCAGCAGAAAACCAACAGUUCUAGGCCAUACAUUCAGUUAGUUUCAUAUAUGAAUCUCUCCUUCUGUCAUGAUAUCAAAAUAUCUUUGCAUCUUUUGUUAUGCGGGGAAAAAUAUCCUUGCAUCUAACCAGUAAAAAAAAUCAGAAAUUCCAUGAGCUAAAAAAAUUGUCAAAUGCAAAAAUAUGUUCAUGAAACUAAAAAAUAUCCAGGAAUUUGGAAAAAAAGUUAAUUAUUAAAAAACAUGAUUUCUCAAAAAGUUCAUAAUUUUAAGAGGAUGUUCAUGACUUUUUAUAAAAGAUGAAAAUGAAAAAAAUCAUGAAUAUUUUUUAAAUGUGCACAUGCAACAAGCUACUGGUAGCGCGGGCCCUUGCGCUACUGGUAGGACUUUACCCCGCUCUACUACUAGGGUUUCCCUAGUAGUGUGGGGCCUUCCCCUUGAUCGGUGUUUCUUCUCUGGUCUGGAUCCCAUUGGCAGCUACCCACGGGACGCCUUGCUUGCGUGCCGACGGGUAGUGCUGAUCCUUUGUUGUGGUGUGGUCUUGCGAACAUGGUGCACGGUGGAAGUGUCAGGAAUGUCAAGCGGCGAUGCAGAUGGCUGUGUCAUGUUUGAUGAUUUUGACAGCUUGUUGCAGCCAUUGCAGUGUUGUGUAGGCUUGUGGUGUAUUGUGUGGGCCCAAUGGUCAUGCCAAUAUUUAUCAUCGACAAACACUUGCACCAAACGCAAAGUGUCUCCGUGAGAUUUUGGAUGUACCAUCUCUUCUCAUCAGUUGAGCUGCGACUAAUGUCACUUCAAUGCGGAUGAAGAUUCUGCUUCCGCGGACGGUUUUUGGCGGCUUGGUCGCUUGCAUAGUGUAUGCAUGUUUAGUCUGUGUGACCGUGUCCAUGUCUGGAUCAUGUGCACUUGCAUCAUCUUCAUUGGUUCAACACCUGCUCGGCGUGGAUUAUCACUGCUCUUUUUUCUCUUUCUCUUUGUUUUAUAUGUCCUGACUUGUCUUAUAUGACUUUGCUGGUUGCCGAUGUGAUUUUUAUGUAUGUGUGUUUGGCUGUGUGCUCUUUAUGUUUGUAUUUUGUUGAUGCUGCAUUUUGAGCUAAUAAAAUCUACCCUUUUAUCAAAAAAUUGUCACAUAUAUUUUUUUAGAUGACUUUUCCUUUUUUAUACGAGGCGUCAAGAGUACGAGGAGGCUGACGCCACGGCCGCUAGAUGACAGGUGAAAGGAAAUAUUGAGGAGUCCGUGUGGGACACGAGAGAGGUCGAUACAUGGCGUGAAAUUCUUCUGAGGGAAGAGACUAGCCUUCGGAAGACCGCCGUCUCUCCGAUCCAUUGUAUCCUCUGUCUUCGCCGGCCGACAGACCCAAUCAUGAAGAGCUCGGCUUGCUAGCUACUGCCGCGGCGGCGGCGUCGAUGGGCGACCACUACGAGACGCUAGGGCUCGGCCGCAACGCCAGCAAGGCCGACAUCAAGGCCGCCUUGUUCCGCCUCGCCCACCGCUACCACCCCGACCACCACGCCCACGCCGACGCCGCCGCCCGAGCCGAAGCCGACCGCCGCUUCCGCCAGAUCAAAGAGGCCUACGAUGUGCUCUACGACCAACGCCGCCGCGCCGAGUACGAUUCCUCGUCCCGCUCCGCCUCCUCCUCGGGCUCGAGUGGCCACGGGCGCCGUCACGGCGGGAACUCUUCAUCGUCGUCGUAUUCGAGUAAGCACGGGAACCGGCAGGGAGGUGGUACUUCAGGCUCAUCUUCCUCCUCGUCGUCUUCGAAUGACCACGGGAACCGACACAAAGGUGGUGGCACCUCAGGCUCAGGCUCAUCCUCCUCCUCCUCGUCUUCAAGCGACCAUGGGAACCGGCAGGGCGGUGGCACUUCAGGCUCAGGCUCAUCCUCCUCGUCGUCGUCUUCGAGUGACCAUGGGUACCAACACAGAGGUGGCACUGGCACCUCAGGCUCAGGUUCAGGCUCAUCCUCCUCCUCGUCUUCAAGUGACCACACUAACCGGCAGGGAGGUGGCACCUCCUACUCCUCCUCAUCGUCUGCGAAUGACCACGGGAACCGUCGUGGACACAGCGGCACCACCUCCUCGGGUUACAGAGGCCCUCUUCGGCCGAGAGGCGGACCUAAAGUCCGUACCGUGAUCUUCGGGUAAGUGACUUGGUUUCUUAGGGUUUAUAUCGCAUGGUGAAAGAUCCAGCUGCAGGAUCAGAUGAGUUUCUGUAAUUUUCAUCCCUAACACUGAUUCAGUGCUUGACUGCUGAUGGCUCACCAUUAUAGCAAUGUACGUGCUGCAGCGCAAUUUUAGGUAUUUCUAUGAUCGGAGGAACUGCAAUGGCAAAGGAAAGCUGGGAGCGAAAUCCGGAAAGGAUGGAACAAGAAUUGGAAAUGGUGAAGAUAGAGUUCUGGACGAGGAAGAGACAGUUAGAAAAUAUGAAACGAAAGUGGGAAAAGAACAAUCCCUUGGUAAGUACACAUGUAUAGGCGGGGGUUCAGAUACAUAAGGUUCUUCUGUCCCAUAAUAAUUAAUAUAAGAUGUACACAUAUUUUUCGUCUAAUUACCACUGCUAGUAUCCACACAUGAGUUCCCUUCAGUUUGGUUAAUUAACUUCCUGCUCUUCGAAACACACAUUUUUGCCAUGUUAAUUUUGUUUGUCUAUCAUGGGGUCAUAUUCAUAUAUAUCCCUGGAUUUGGUAUGAUGACAUUGCAAUGUGCUAUUAGUAGUGUGCUGAACUAAUCGGGUGCGUUGCGCUGCGUACUGUGCAGAAACCAUGGAUGGAGUCGAAAGAGAAGGAGAUAAAGUCAGAGUUCGAGAUGAGGAGGCAACAGUGGGAAAAUAUGAAACAGGAAUGGGUAAAGAACAAUCCCUGGGUGAGUGAUGUAUAUAUACCUUUGCCUCCCUUUUUUUCCAAAUAAAAGUACUACUUCGUAUUUCGUCUAAUUACAUCUGUUUAGUAUAGUAUCAACAUAUGAGUUCACUUCGGUUUGGUUAAUUUACUUUCUUCUCUUCAAAACACACUUUUUUGCGGGUUAAAACACACGCUUGCCAUGUUAAUUUUGGAGCUUUUUUAAGCUCUAAUUUUCUUCGAAACUGCUCCAUGCACGACAUAAAUGGACGACCUAUGCACGAUAAAUCAAUCCAGCAGCCGGCGCCCUGUUCAGUUAUUAUACGUAUGUACGGCCAGAUUUUAUCAUCGUCUGUGCGCCGUCCAUCAUUUAUCGUGUGCAUAGCACGACUCAAUUUUCUUUGUCCAUCAUAUUCAGAUAUCCUUGGAUUUAGUAGGACGACGUUCCAUUUUGCUAUUAGUACUAGUACUAGCUAGUACUAAACUACUACUCUCUCUGUUCGGAAUUAUUUGUCUUGAAAAUGGAUGUAUCUAGAACUAAAAUAUGUCUAGAUAUAUCAAUUUCUGCGACAAGUAAUUCCGAACAACGUUUCAAAAAAAAGUAAUUUCGAACGGAGGGAAUAGUAAUGUGAUGAACUAACAGCGUGUGUUGCGCUGAGUACUGUGCAGAAAUCAAGGAUGGAGCCGAGGGAGGAGAAGGAAAAGAAGAACUGGUGGACGGACAUUAUCUUUAGAUCUUGACUUCAGGCAUACAGCGAGUACAGUUCAGAGUCUCCAUGUCUUUCCUGUGGUAGCAGGCGUUCAUGUUAUUUAACUUUUUUGAGGGAACCUGAGGAGAUUUCUCCCUACUAUGUUUUUAUAUAAAUAUAAACUAGAAAAUUAUCCGUGCCUUGCAGUUGAAACGGAGGAUAUAUUGUUGAAGUGCCGUCAUGGUUUAGUUGGUUGUGAAGCUGGACUGCUGUAAAAUAAGCCGAUUUCUUGGCAGUGCCAAAAGGGAUUUUGGAGCAGAAAUCCAUUUGUUCUAGGGCAUAUUCAGUUAGUUUUAUAUAUUAGUCUCUCCUUCUGCCCUGAUAUCAAAAUAUCCUUGCAUAGUUAUACGUAACAAAGACAGGAAAACAGUAGCAUGCAAAUAUACAACAACCAUCUUUGUGCAUACAUGAUACAGUUUUCCAACAAUUGAUGUUAUGGCCACAAAGGAAGCGGGCAAGGCCGAAGUCGGUAUUGCUGGGACGCGGUGCUAGAGUUCCAGUAGGAGCAGUUCAUGCUCGGCAUGGGGCCCACUAUCAGCGACCCUGCCCGCGCAGCCACUGCUAUUUCUUCAAAAAAGACCUCAUGCCUUAUUAUUGGCUGAUGAGCAAAAAAAAAUUGAGAGUUGAAUAUGUAUAGCAUAACUUUUUUUGGAGUUGAAUUUUUUUAGGCAACCCUGCGAAACUUUAUUCAUCCGUCACAAUGUUUACAUGGACGAAGGGAAUACCCUCAGGCUGGCCUAACCAAACAUGGCGGCCAGGCCCGAGACCCAACGCAUAUUUCACAAGGUUGUGAGCAUCGAAGUUUGAGCUCCUAAAUUCGUGUAGUAUCUUACAAGAAAUAAAAGAAAUUGCAUGCAACUUAAUCUCCUGAAUGACUGCACCAUAGAUCAAUGCACCACCACUCGAAAUUUCCUCUACUGCUUCCUUGCAAUCCAAAGCCACGUGAAUUCGCUGGAGGUAUAGAUCGUCGGUAAGGGAGAGGGCUUCUCUUAUAGCCGAGGCUUCAAGCGUAGCUGGGUCCCCGAUCGUUCUGAAUACGACCGCCGACACGCCCUCGAACUUUCCCACUUCGUCUCUGCAAAUUGCUGCAACUGCACCAAACCUCCCCCGGCCUCCGACCGCGGCAUCAGUGUUUAUUUUGGCAUGAUUCUCCAACGGCGGCAAUCACCGUCGUGGUCUUGCUAUAGUUGCUUUGACCGGUGCAACUUUCUGACGAUGGAUCAUUUUUAUCUCUGAUAAGUAAGAUCUUAUGAUAAGUAAGAUCUUAUGAAGUCAUUGAUGGAUUGAGGACUCCGGAAUACUCCUUCGUAUAUUGCUUUUCGUCUAGCUCCCCAAAUUGCCCAAAGAGUGACCACUAACCUGAUAAACUCAUCGGCAUUGAGGCCCUCUUGAAGGGAAAAUAACCAUCUUUUCGCACUGUCAUGUUGAACGAUGCAGAGCUGAUCCAACACUUCUUCCGAAGACAAUGCCCAUGUACAGCGAGACAUCGGACACUCUAGUAAAGCAUGCUUCCAUGUAUCCUGAGCUCCGCAUAGAGGACAGGAUGUUGUCAUGGCCAUAUGGCGGUGGUGUAGCACCUCGCCUGCAGGGAUCGAGUGCCUAGCCAGCCGCCAUGCAAACACUUUGAUCUUAGACGGCACAUGCAAUUUCCACAUCUUGUUCCACUCCCCACUCUCCCUGUUUAUAAGCGAUGAUUCCUCUCUCCCUUCCAACCAAUUUUCUCUGCUGAUUUUUGUUGUCACAAGCAUGCGAUAUGCCGACGCAACUGUGAAAAUUCCCCUCGGGGUCUCACUCCAAGCCCAGAAAUCAUCUGCCCGUCUAGUGCACAAUGGGAUCUUCAAGAUUUCUUCGGCGUCGAAGGGGGUGAAUACUGCUCUAACAAGUCCCUCUUUCCACGAGGUUGUGGUUGAAUCAAUAAGCUCGGAUACAUUCUCAGGUGGAGCCGGAACUAGAGAGGUAAUCGGUCGCUUGAAGCUUGAUCUCGGUAUCCAGUUAUGACGCCAAAUGUUGGUAGUCUUUCCGUCUCCAAUUCGACGUACAAUUCCUUGAGCAAUCACAUCUCUACCGUCAAUUACGGCCCUCCAAAUCUGAGAUGGAUGCAGACUAAGAGUUGCAUCAAGCAGAGAGCAAUCAGGAUAAUAAGCUGCUCUUGAGUAUUUGAGCACUCAAAGAAUCAUCGUCAACCAAAACUCUCCAUGCCCGCCUUGCUAAUAACGCCAAGUUGAACAGCUCCAAAUCCCUGAAUCCCAUACCCCCCAUGUACUUGGGUCUAGUCAUCACAUCCCGUGCAACCCAUGUUGGUUUCCUCUGUCCUCUUUUACUGCCCCACCAAAACUGGCGUAUGAGAGAGGUGAUAUCCUCACACACACCCCUUGGCAACCGGAAACAUGACAUAGAAUAAACUGGUAUUGCUUGAGCAAUUGACUUUAUCAAGACCUCCUUGCCGGCAGCUGACAGCAAUUUUUCCAUCCAUUUGAGGAUGUGCAGUCUCAAGGCACACUAGGUUAGUAUUUAUAUUUACAUACAUAUUAUGUAAAGAAAUAACAUAAUAAAUUUUUCAUAAAGAAAUGGCACAUAUAGAAAUUAUGUAAGGAAGGGGAAAAUAGUACUCAUGUUAUACAAAAUGGAAUAAAUGGUUAAAUCAAUACGUUAAGCACAAUUGAAGUUGUAAAUAUGAACAGAUUAGGGAUGUCUAGUAUUUUGUUUCAAAGCGAUUAGGUGCAGAAUUAUGAAGAGAACUGAAAUUUUUGGACGAUCAGGAUUCAGAGUGCCCUAUCACAACUUGCGAUCUUAUAUGGAUAUAGAUAAAUUUGCAUAAAAAUUAUAUAAUGUCAAGUGGGCUAAAAAUUAUAUAAUGUCAAGUGCCCACUCCCAUGCCCGGGCAGCCAUGGCUUUUUCUUCAAAAAAGAUCUCGUGCCCUAUUGAAUAUGUAUAGGAUAACUUUUUUUUGAGAAAUAAUGCAUAGCAUUUUUUUUUUGAAAACGAAAUAAUGCAUAGGAUAACUUAAACUAAAUGUCUGUCAUUGAACAUGUUUGUGGAAGUUAAAUGGGUUGCACUCAGUAUGGCCCAUUUUUCACAUGUUAGUUCGUUUUUAAAAAUUGUAAAAUUAUUUAAAUAAUAACCACAAUAACAGAAAUUAGGUUUGAAUGUUCGUGUGUUAGAAAAAGUAUAUACAUACAAGUAAAGUAACAUACCUUAAAAAAUAUUCACGUAUUAUUUGAAAACGUAUUCAUAUAAUUAAAAUAAUAUUUAUUAAUUAUGAACAUUUUUAGAAUUUUAAAAAGUGUUCACAUAUAUAAAAGAUAAUAACCUGAUUUAAAAUGUUUAUACAAUUAAAUAAAUUUUCAUAUAUUUUUAAUAUGUCCAUAUUUUUAAUAAUAUAUUCAUGUAUUCAUUUGAGGAUGUCAGGUGGGCUAAAAAUAUCGGACCAACUAUGUAUAAUUUCGAAAAUAGAUUGAUGUUGUAUAAAAUCCAAAGUCAUUUUUGUGUGCAAACAAAUGGCAAUCAAAGUGCCCCCACAAAUAAAAGACAAUUAAAGCGGGCAUCAUUCAAAAACUGUCCCUCACCGAUCUCCAAUUUUUCACAAUUCAGAUGACCAAACCACAAAAAAAGCACCCCAAAACAUAAAGAAAUUCCUAGUCACACCGCAUAUUUCGAAAUUAGCACUACCUUGAUUAAAUAAUCACCCCCUAGACCAAAAAAAUAAAGAAAACAAUUAAAUAAUGAACCCCACCAACAUUAACCCUUCCCUAUUAAUUAAUCCGUUCACCAACCCAAAAAAAUAUGAAAAGAAUCCCUAUUUUUAAAAUUCCACCUAUUUGCAAUAAAUAUGUCCCGAUUUUUUAUUAAUAAUAAAUAAUGAUGCUGUAAUUCCGAAACUAGUAAUGAUAAGUUAGAAUUUCAAGAAAUAGGAAGAACGCCAUCAAUAGUAGCGUCCAGACCUGAUCGCUGUUGCAAACAACGUCCACACCUGGACGCUAUUCUUAGCAGCGUCCAGUGUUUGGUCCAACCUAGCCUAGAAAAGUCCUCGCCUUCAUCCGACCUAAGGGCAACUCCGACGCGGCAACCUAAACUGAUACAAAUUUUGUCCGCUCUUUGUUCAUUGGGAUCGGUCAAUCGGACGUCAAUUUCUGUUUUUGUCCGCCGGUCCAAAGAUGCUAGGACAAACAUAUUUCACAUUUGCACUGGAUUUCGAUUUUUUAAUAAACAGCCAGCAGAAUCCAAUUUACAUUAAUUAAAACUAAAAAAUAUUAAAUGAAAAGAUAAAAGAAACAGUUAGCGGCGGGCAGUAGAUCAUCGUCAUUUUCUUCCUCCUCCUUGGCCAGGUCGACGUAGACUGGUGUCUCCAUCCACGGGAAAGCCUGCUGGAUGGCUGGCAACAUAGCCACUUGCUGCACCACCAGCUGAUGCUUCUCCUGCCGCUCGGCCUUCAUUGCCCGCUCUGCAGCCUACCACUCGGCCUCCUCGUCUAUCGUGCCCAUCCACACGGGCAUGCAUGAUAUACGAUGGCAACGUGCUCGUCCACGACCAUGAUUGCCAAGCCAUGGCCAUGGCUCCUCCUCCAUAGGCUCGGGCGCAAGCGGUGCUAGGGGCGGUGGGGGCAUGUUAGCCUCCACUCUGGCCGUCGAUUCAACCAGUGAGUGUGCAAGGCUAGGCCACUUGGCGAGCUCCUUGCGCUCGGCCUCCUCAAUGGACCUCCUUGUGGCCUCCUCGAGGGCCACAAUGCAGGCCUCCUAAUCCUCCCCCCUUCACCAUGACCGACGGUGAUGGUGGACCAGUGAGUGCGCGUGGUGCACAGGACGCAUCCUUGUAGCACGACCGACAAUGCUGGUCGUGCCCAGUGGCGAACUACGCGUCCUAGUUCGGCGAAUCCAUUGUGGACGUUGGGUUGCGGCAAAGGUCGUCCGAGAGUAGACAUGACGAUGGUGGAUCUCCAUCAGCUACGUGCGGCCUGAGUCCGGCACGGUCGGCACCAGAACCCUAUCGAGGUUGAGGUGCCACCCAUGCAGCAGGUUCACGUUGGGCUACGACACCGGCACGCCAUGCUUCCAGAAGUGCUGGCAGUGGUGCACUGACACGUAGAGGCAAAAGCACGACAGCCGACUCAAGAUCAACUUAUCUAUUAUCAUAAACUAGCCAGUUACCAAUUGUAUUGCCCAAAAGUAACAACCUAGCCAAAUAUAUAUUAUACAUUUGUAACCGUUGAAUAAAUUAUACACAAGACCAGACAAAGAAGAUUCAACGAGGCCAUGGAACAACUCACAUGCUCCAACCAUAGGUCUGGUGGAUGAUCCUAAUGAUGAGCGAAUGAUCCUAAUGACAAGCAGCUAGUGAGAUGUUGUUGCUCCUGUGAUGAUUGAUGAUGUCCGUGCUAGAGCUUGCUUACCACCUAGCAAGGUAAGAAGCGAUGGUUGCAGGUGUAUUAGAGUAUAUUGGUCAUGAAAUCUCUAUCUAUCAAAGUAAACGACUCGGUUGAGCCUAAUCAGAGCACCGAUUUUUUUAUUACUAGUAAUUAGUACCACAUCAAUUAGAAAAUUGAUCAUGGUUGGGCCGAAAUUUGAAAAAUAGGAAUGACACUAUUGACAACGGCGUCCAGGCUGGACGCUAUUGCGAAUGAUGUCCACGGCUGGACGCUGUUAUAAACAACGUCCAGUUAUGUGGUUCGGUCAGGUGCUCUUGUUUUAACUAUAUUGAGAGUAUUUACUCUAAUAGAUUUAAUAUGUGAGCUUUGGUUUUUUUGUGAUGGUUGUGAGGCAUUGAUAACAAAUCACUGAAAUGCCCAUUUGUUCCAUUCUAGACCAGUUUGUUUUUGCCAAAUUAGAGGAGAAAUAGUCUUAACACACAUGAAUGUAUGUAUUUCUAAUUCAUUAGCUAUUAAAACUGUCGCAAGAAAGUCUAAUUGUGCAUUCUACACCUAAGCCGUGAUUGCUUUCUGGGCUGCCUUGAGGGCGAAAGCUUCCAGCAAUUCAAUCAUGGACAGUGUGCUCCGGUACACUCCUUGCUACUAAGAAAACAACUCGAGUGGUGAGCUAGUCAGGAGGCCUCCCUUCUUUCCCCUCUCCCUUCUGCGUCGCUCCCGUGAGCUAUCGAGGGUAACCCUAGCCACCAUCGUCGGGGUUCCCCCUUCCACUCUCCCUCCUCCCUAAUCGUUGAAAAAGGGUGUGGUCGGGCGAAGCCCGGUCGGCGUAGGCGGCGACGGGGAAGUUUUGUCUUCCAUGCACAGGAGGUCAGGCCUGAGCCAGAUCGAGCAGGCAUGGACACCGCUUUGGAAAACGGGCGUGCUGGUGCGCCGAAGCGGUUACAGAUGGUGUUGUGGCGGCGGUGUGACAGGCAGCAUGGUGGCACGAGCAGCGCAGGCUGCGACCGGCACAGGUUGCUAGGUGCGGCAGGGUGGGUCAUGGGUGGAGCUGGCUGCGGGCAGCUACCCCUGCCAUGGGCGUCCGGGCGGCAUGGUGUCCGGUGUUCAGUGACCAAUAGUGGUCUCAGAGACGGAGAGUGCGUGCGAUUGGGUAAUCCUUGUUUGGCUUGCACCAGGCCAAUGGCAGCGGCAACUGUAGACGUGGUUACCUUCGUGAAGGCGGCGUUGCGGCUACUCUCCUCCUUCGGUUUGCUCGUGAAACCCAUGAUUUUUUUUGAAUUGGCGGUGGCGGUGCUCCGGUGUCGUGCCCUUCCUGAAGGCACCGUCUUGGAGUCCAUGAUUCAUCGGGUGCAACGUCGUCUCUUUGUGACACCUCUCUCAUGGUGGAGUACCCUGACCACUUUUUGCAUGACACUCUUUGUAUUCUUGUUGUGAUCUUGGAGUGGGUUGUGGUGGUGUCGCUGUUAUUUUGCAUUGUUAUAUCCUGUCUCGGGUGUAUAUGGUGUGGUGUCGAGUUGUAUGAUCGUUGCGUUAUCUAUAAAGCGGGGUGUGAGCCUUUUUCGGUAGAAAACAAGUCAAGUUCAUGCCAACAUGCACAGAUAUUCACGCACAAAUUCACAACGCAUCCACUCACACGGUUACACAUGCCUAGUGUAGGAGAGCAAAAAGGGUGGAGAGAGGGCUCACGCUGACAUGUUAGUAGUUAGUGUUGCUAGAGAUGGCUCCGAGCGUAACAGGGAAGAGGUCGGGGCAGUCCUUGCUGAGGAGGACAUGGCUGUCGGAGAUGGACAGCCAUGGCCCCGGCAGCAACGGGGGUUUAGCGGAUCACCAUUGCGAGCGAGGCACGACGAUGGGAAUUGGCAAAGAGGGAUAAUAAGGAGCGAAAUGAGGGUGGUGCGUUGGUAGAGUGCCAUUUUUGGCAGGCUAGAGGUGGCAGAGUCUAGCUUUGGUCCUGCGGAAGUUGCUGAGGGUACAAGUCGAAGGCCGGAGAUAGCCGGACAGGGUCUGGUCGAACCAAACACAGUGGACGCUGUUUAUAAGAGCGUUCAGCUUUAGACGUUGUUGGUAUCGGCGUCCAGCCCUGAACGUUAUUAUUCCUAGCGUCCUUCCUAUUUUUCGAAUUUGUCAUUAGUGUUUCUUAGUUUCAGAAUUACUGGAAUAUUAAUUAUCAAUAAUAAAAAUUUCGGAAAUAUGUCCUUUGUUUAGAUUUUUUUUUUGAGACAUCCUUUGUUUACAUUGGAAAACCCUAUUUACGCACAAAGCAACUUAGGCUGGCCCAACUGUAACGUAUGUACAGCUUCUAGAGGAUUCCAUCCUGUUUUUAUUGAUUUUGGGAACCUUCUACAACUUCCUGAACCGGUUUUUAUUUUUAAUUUCUAUUUUUUCUUUUUUAAAUGUUUUUAUUUUUUCUAUCCUUUUUCUUUUUUCUGUUUCUUUUUUGUUUUGUUUUAAUUUUAUUUUUCUUUCAUUUUUCAUUUUCACGUCUAUUUUUUCAACAAACUUUCUAGAAUUUAAAAAAUGUUCGUAUUUCUAAAAAUUUGUUCCUUUUUUGAAAUUUUGUUCAGAAAUUCUAAAAAAGUUGUAAUACUUCAAAAAAAAUCACUUGUUUCAGAAAAUGUUUGAAAUUCAAAAAAUUCUGAAAAUGUUUGCGCUUUUAAUUUUGUUCGCAAAUUCAGAAAAUGUUCACGCGUUGCAUAAAAUGUUAUUAUUUUUCUAAAUCACAAACUAUAAAAAUGUUCAUAUUUCAAAAAUUGGUUCACAUGUUCAAAGCAUGUUCGAAAAAUUACAUAAAGUAUUCAUGUUUUGCAAAAGUUGUUCAUCUUGCAUUUGUUUCGAAAAUAUGUUCCUGUUUACAGAAUUUAUACACAAAUUCAAAAAUAAUUCACUUUUCAUAUUAUUAUUUUUGCAAAUCGACCAAAAAUAGGGGAAUUUAAGUAAAAUAUUCACAUCUUGAAAAAUAUUCAUAAUUUCAUAAAAUGUUACAGUUUUUCAAUUUUAUUCCUUUUUUUAUAAAUAUUUGCAUUUUGAAAAAGUUGUUCAGAGUUUCAAAAAUUGUUCUCGUUUUCUAUUUAUCCCUUUUUUACAAAAAAAAGAUUCCCAAAAAAAGUUCAAGUCUUUAAAAGUUUGUGAGCUAAUUUUGGAAAUGUUCGUUUUUGUACAUAUAUUUACUUUUAUGAAAAAAAGGAAACCACAUUCAAAUUUGAAAAAAAAGAGGUUACACCGUUGCAUAGAGGAAAAGAGAGUUAGUGUUGACGGUGGCGAAGUUGUUGGUGUAGAUCGCCGCCACGGUGAUUGCACUGGCGGCAUUCCGGCGCCACUAGGAGAGGGGGGGGGGGGAGAGCCCCCCUCAUUCUUCUGUUUGCUUGGCCUCCUCUUAGAUGGGAGUAGAGUUUCACCUCAGGUCCAUGACUGCCAUGGCUCCCGAUAGGCAGGAGCCCCUUCAAGAUUGGAUCUCUCUCUGUGUUUCUUUUCUGUUUCACAACCCUCAUUCUGGCUGAAAACCGUUUCUUAUAUUCCCGAAAAUCCGUAACUCCGAUUGGGAUGAAAUUUUGAGGUGAUUUUUAUCCCUAAAUUAUCUGAAGGGCUCCAACCGACCUAUGAGGUGCCCACAAGGAAAGGGGCGCGGCCAGGGGUAGGUCGCGCCCUGUUGCGUUGUGGAGCCCUCGAGCGCCAUCUUGCGUUGAUUCUUCCUCUCAAAAAUCACAUAUGUUCCAAAAUAAAUCUCCAUAAAAUUUUAUCGUGUUUGGACUUCGUUUGGUAUGGUUUUUUGCGAAACAAAAACAUGCAAAAAAUAGAAACUGGCAUUGGGCACUAGAUUAAUAAGGUAGCCCAUAAAAAUAAUAUAAAAAUGCAUCAAAUCCAUAUAAAACUAUUGUAAACAUGACAUGAAUACUUUGUAAAUUAUGAAUACAUUAGAGACGUAUCACUGCCAUACACCUAAAGGCAAGUGCAAUAAGUGACUGAAGUUGCGUCCGGUGGAUUGGGAUACCUGCGGCAUGGAGUACACACCAUAGCUAUAGUUCCCAGUUCCCACUGUAAAAUAUAGAUGUGAAUGAUGUUUAGCAGUGCUAUUACUUCUGAGUCAAACCGGAACUAAAGCUUUAUAUUUUAUUGUUUACAUAGAUCACACAAAUCUGCAUUUUUGUAUUAAACAAGAAGCCACAAGCUUGUCAUAUAUAUCAUAUUCGUACCAGUCAAAAUAUGUUCCCUGAUAUAAUAACAAUUCAGUCAAAUUAUUGUGUCUCCAAAAUAGAAUAUAUAUUGUAUGAUGUGCUGAUUAAUAAUAUAGUACGGCGGCCACAAUAAAAUGGACCCAGAUGCAUGUGAAUACUUUGGAAGAUAAUCAAGUAGCUGCUUCUACACUCUUCUGUAAUGCAUAAACUAGUAGCACACGUUAUCAACUAGUACUAAUUAAUAGUAGUACACAUAUAAUAAUAUAUUUAAAUGUCAUUUACUUGUAUAACUUUGUAUCCAAGUAUGAUUUUUUUUCUCAAAAGAAAAGGGUACAAGACUGCUCUUUGCUUGAACAACUUUAAUUUUACAGAGGCCAAUUUGGUGAGUUUCUUUGUGACAUAUGAACUUUGCACAAAUCAUAUAUUCAAACUGCAGUACCUCACAAAAAAAACCGGAGUUUGACCUGAAAUCCCAUGGUCGUACAGGAAAAACUCCCUCUAAGAAUCCAGCUCAGAGUUGACUUGGAGUUGACCAUAUUGUACCGGUGACAUGUUUCUAGGUAAAGCGCACAGUAUAGCAUAUUAGUGGGUAAGAUUCAACUAAAUUUCUCUCCUUGUUCAUACCAUAUGGUACUAUAUAAUUAGGGUAGAACAGUUGAAAGUUUGUGUGUGGGUUGAAGCAUGUUCUUCAUAGGAUAAUCUAGUGCCACGCCACUUGCGCUAAAGCUGGUUUGGCAUGCACUGAUCUUUCCUUGGCCAAAGUUCAUUUUGUAUAUUAUUAAUUCCAAGGUGUUAUCAUCGAUCUAGGCUAGAAUAAUAACACCCAUCAUCAUAUCCAACUGCCUCGAUGAUUCAUCUCUCUAGUUAAAACCAAGUACUAAUUGACUUAAUCAAUUAAUUAGCUAGUCGAUAACAUUGAUCAGAUUAAUCUGGAUAGGUAAAAUGGAACAGAUCCAUCUUGCAGCGGCAAAGAUAUUUUUAAUGUAUUUUCAAUAGUCUAUAUCUAAUAUUUUUCAUAUUGAACUAUAUAGGUUGUUCAGUGGUGGGCGAGAGGCCCUUUUCCACUACUCAAUUAAAAAUCCAUGGAAUUUUUAGAUUGAAAAAUAAAGCUAUACUUUUGCUUUCCAUCCACCAUCUAUACAUUUAUUAAUUAUAAUGUUCUCAUCGAGACGGGGGUUAUAAAAUUGUCCAUGAAAAAGAAAUAACCAUAUAAAAAUGCUCUUUUACAAAAGACACCUGAAAGUUUCUACAAGUUCAGAUCAUACAUGCCGUUUGGUUUUCAUUGGGACUGAACGGCACACCAAGUGGCAACCCAAAUCGUUCUUAUCCAUAGGCUACCGCUUGAGUUAGAUUAAAAUAUACGUGAAAUAUUCUGAAUCUAACUAUGGGCUGCACCUAUCACAUGCCCAACCCUAUUGUGCUUUGUACAAGUUCUAUAAAUUUGACAAUCAUUUUUUUAAUAUUGUUUCCAUUGGUGAACAAAAGGUAGAUGGAUUGUGUAGCUAAAGAAAAUAUGCAAGAGACCCGGCCAGCCGUUUGCAAAAUUCAAACCAGCCAAGUGAGAUGGUUAGGAACUUAGGUCCCUGAUGAAUGUUGGAUUUUUGAAUUUCCGCAGAAAUUGAGUUGGCUUCAUGAAUCUUUAUCGUGACUAAACAUAUAUGGAACCACAAGCCACUGAUUACCUUGAAUUCUCGAGUAACUAUCAUACAUUAGCAUUUCUGAUAAAGUUAUUCCUCUGCACACAAUCACCUUUAUACCUGAUUUAGAUUAUUUUUAUUCCAUGCAUUUUUUAAUGUAAAUACUCCAUUGUCAAGCAUAAUACCAAUCCUUUUUACCUAACAACCCAUUUACAAAAUAUUUAGGGAAAUCACAGGGAGAUGGUUUGCAUAUUUUUCAUCAAAGUGCUUUUGUGGUACUACAUAUUAAAAUAGCCAGCAUUUUUAGAAAAAUAUCAGUAAGUAAGCAUAGUUAUGAAUUUUAAUAAAUUUGUCCUAUAUAUAGUAACUGAUUUUUUUUACUUUUAGACAUAUAUGUAUUUGUGAAAACAAUGACAGUUUCAAUACAAACCACAUAUACGACCUAGUUAGAAACAUAAUAGUAACCUUUCACUUGCAAAGCAUGGUUCACUAACCAAAUUUUAACACUAAAAGUAAUUUCUUUGGAAUUUUAAAGUACAUUUUCUUAUUUACAUAAUUUUUUUUCUCUUGAAUACUGAUGUGGAAGAAGAAAAUGAUAAGAUACCUCGUUUUGUGCACUUGCCCUCGUUAAAUUCUCCAAACCAAAAAUAUAUAGAUAUAGCACCAUCCUAACUUGUGCUUUUAUAUCAAUAUAUAGAUUACUUAGCAAAAUACAUUUAAUUUAUAUAACGUCAAAUGGAGAAAAGUUAUCAAAACCAAGUAUGUAUAAUUUUCUAAAAUAGAUUCUUUUUGCGAGGUAAUUUUCUAAAAUAGAUUGAUGGUGUGUAAAAUCCAAAGCAGAAUAGAGAUACAUUUGUGUGAGCAGACAGAUGACAAUUAAAAUGCCCCAUGCAAAAAAAAAAAGGGGGACAAUUAAAGUGGGCAGCAUUCAAAAACUCUCCCUCACCUGUCUCCAAUUUCUCACAAUUGAGAUGACCAAACCACAAAAAAAGCACCAGAAAACAUAAACAUUAAACAAGUCGCCAGUCACACCGCAUAUUUCGAAAUUAGCACCACCAAGAUUAAAAAAUCAACCCCCUGGACUAAAACAAAACAAAAGAAAACAAUUAAAUAAUGAACCCCCCACCACCAUCAUUUUCCCCUCCCUAUUAAUUAACCGGUUCACCAACCCAAAAAAAUACAGAAAGAAUCAUACAAUAUUUUUAAAAUAUUCCACCCCAUUUGCAAUAAAUGUUUCCUUUGUUUAGAUUAUCAGUUUUAAUUUUGUAUUUAUUAAAAAAACCAAUUCCAUCUCUUUUAUUUCCUCUCUGCAUUUCUUUCUGUGCCAUCUCUUCCUGCCUCUGUUCGUUUCCUCCUUCCUUCUCUCGCUCCCCUGUCUCUCUCCUGCUCUUGAGUUCCUCGCCGGCCGGCCGGCUCGCCGGAGAACUACGCCGGUUGGUUGUUACCGUCGGAGUUCGGGUUCUGGGCUCGAACUCAGGUUUGGACGUCGGGGUUGGGGCUUUUGGUUCGAGUUUGCUUCUCCUCCCGCCGCUGCUUUGAUCGUGGUGCUCGUGUGGAGAAGCGGAGAGUGGUCUCCGUCUGAUGGUCGAGGCGUCCCGGCGGGGAGGAAAGUAGGGCUUGGCAUGGAGACGGCGAUGGAGACCUCGCCGCCGGCGGCAGAGACCAAGAAGGAGCCGACGCCGCCUGCGGCAGAGACCAAGAAGGGGCCGACGCCGCCUGCGGUCGCGCAGCCUGUGCCAGAGACCAAGAAGGAGCCGACGCCGCCGGCUCCUGCUCCUUCUGCUCCUCCUCCCGCGCCGGCGGCGGCGGUGGUGGUGGCAGCGAGAGGGGACGGGAAGCGGAAGAGGGGGCGGCCGAGGAAGUACGGGCCGGACGGGGGCCUGCUGCGGCCGCUGAACGCGACGCCGAUCUCGGCGUCGGUGCCGGACGACUCCGGCGGGGGGCACUACACGCCCGCGUCCGCCGUGGGGGCCGCCAUGAAGCGGGGCAGGGGGCGGCCCGUGGGGUUCAUCAGCCGCGCGGCGCCCGUGGUGGCGAUGCCGAUGCCGGUGCCGGUGACGGCCGCCACGCCGACCCCCGCGGUGGUCGUCUCCACGCCGCCGCCCCCCGCGCCCAUGUCCUCGUCCGCCGCCGCCCCGACGCAGCAGCUCGUGCCGCCCCUAGGUACCGGAACCCCUCCCACUUCCUCAGUUAUCCAUCAUCAUCAUACAGAGUUGUGAGUCGUACUACUCCUCGCGAAUUUCCGAGAAAAUCUCGGUAAUUUCGUGCGAUCUUCGUCCGUCUCAAAUCGGAAUCCAAGGCCGCAGCAUUUUACUAUGAUUGAUUGAUUAUUUUAGUUGAGAUUAGAUGGGCAUAUCCGGGGCUUGGGUGGGUGGUGGCUGAGAGAGACAGCCAGCACCAGGAGGGACAGGGACCAUCUGGUCUUAGUCUUAGGUAGGUCUAGGUGAACCUGAAGACCCAAGCACCUUUCAGAUGCUCUGUUUGCCCCUAAGAGUGACGGCGAACCAAACACGCGCCUAACUUGGCCGAAUCUUGCCAAACAAAAUCGCGCGAAAUCACGGCCAAGUAGGCCCUCGAGACUGACUGACUGACUUGCUGAACCAGUUAUGCAACACUUGUGAGCUGAUUGGUAUGCAAGUUGUUAAGCCUGGUGUAUGCAUCUCCCUUCAAAAGUUCCAGGUGUGCCUGUCCAGGACUCUGUUUUCAGUGGUGCAGAACUUGAGGUGUGGAGCAUUUGUGUGCCACUGUCUGGAGUUGUAUGCUGACCUGCUUGGUGUGUUAAAAGGAAGAGGUGCCCUUUGAUUUGGGACCUGUAAAUUUGUUUACUUGUAGUUGUAGAAAUAACUCGUAUGACUAGUUACUAUAUCGAUCGGACUACUUGGUUUGCAGAUGCGUAGGUGUUGUCUGAAUAUAAUUUUUGGUCAUGGUUUUUGCUGCAAAGGCCAUGGUUUGAAUGGCAUAUAAGGUGCCUCUUCCAAGCAUCUUGUAUCAGGGAAAACUAUAUGUGAAGUUGCUUCGGGUGCAUUUCUGAAAGUGACCCCCAGUAUUUUUUCCCCCUAUGAGAGUUAGUGUCGGAAAACAACGCUAGUCUGGGUGCAUUGAUCGAAUAAAUUGUGCUUCAUCGCAAAACAAAAAAAAAACGAGUUGAUGCUUCUAUGGUGAGUGUUAUAGCUGAUAUGGCUGUUGAGUGUUCGUAGUAACUAUACAUUAUACAAGGACAUAACGUCUGAUCGAAAUUUGUUGAAGACAUUGUUAUUUCCACCUCAUGCCUAUAAACAUCAAUACUUGUUGAAUAUUCAAAAUGCACAAUCUCCUGAAGAUUAUCUACCUCAAUCCUCAAAGGCUCUGUAUUCAUGAACAGGCGAUGUGGUAGGAUGUGCUUCCGGUGCGAAUUUUACACCUCAUAUCUUGAAUGUUGCUACCGGUGAGGUAUGAUACCAUGAAACCCCUUUACCUAGCUCUAUCUGAAUUUCAUAUGCAAUUUUUCAUGCCAUGACUAGUUACCGUCUUUGUUUUGUUGUAUCAGGAUAUUAAUAUGAAGGUCAUAUCUUUCUCCCAACAAGGCCCAAGGGCGAUUUGCAUUCUGUCCGCCAAUGGUGUGAUUUCGAAUGUUACGUUGCGUCAGCAUGAUUCUUUAGGUGGUACAGUGACUUACGAGGUUUGCUCGCUUUCCUCUGCAAACCAGUGAUAUUCCUGUAUUCGGUUCCUUUUUGCUGUGUCCAUGUUUCAAUUAUGAGUUGAUGAAUCCAGUGGAUUGAAUUUGGUUGUUACUUAUUGUGUCAUCUCUUUAAACCAAAUAUACUUUUACAUUACCUAAAAUAAAUCCAGCCUUUCAAAAUCCCAAUAUUGUGAGUACCAGUUCUGACUGUAGUAGCCCUGGUAGAAAGUUGGCUAAUUUUCAGAACUGUCCCAAAAAUGUAAGGUCAUGCUGGGCAGAACUGUGCAGUCACCUUGAGACCAGGUGGAAACCAAGGGGAUGGAAAAUGAGACGCAAAAGAAGUUGCAGUCAAAACCAAAACCACACCAAAUCGAAUCUGUGUGCUGCCAUGCCACCAUGGUUGGCCCUGAGUAUUUGCGCUAAGUCAUGACCAGGAAUUUUCUAUAAUCCAAAACUACUUUUAUCAUCUCCAUGAUGAAUUUGUAGAUGCAAGGAAAUUUAGUGGAAACUAGUAGCAGGUCACUCCGAAGAAGUUACAUGGAAUUUAUGUGCACACGUAGUGGAAAAUAUACGAACCAUGGUGACCUCCAAAUUUCCAGCAACUAAUGUGUGCAUAUCACUAGGUCAAUUUGAUAAACAUCUAGCCCCUGAAAGUUCCAACCCCUGACGCACAUCACUAGUUCCAACAACGAUGGCGGCAUUUGCACACUGUGAGUGCCAAUUCUGAUACUGUAGUACCCUGGCGUAAAUUUGUCUAGUUCUGAGAACUUUCUCGGAAUUGUUCAGCCACUCUACAACAGGUGAAAAUAAGAAGGAAACAGAAGGGAGUAGCAACUGAAACCACACGAAGGCGAAAUGAGUGUGCUGCCGCCAUUAUUUGACUUGAGAGUACAUUAGGCCAAGUCACUGUCAGGAAGUUUCCAUGAUCCAGAACUAACUUUGUCAUCUCCAAGUUGAACUGCAAAUACAACAAAAUUUGGUGGAAAGUGGAAACUGAAAGCAGGUCACUCUGAAGAAGUUGCAUGGAAUUUAUGUGCAUAUUGUCCAUACGCAUCUCAGUCGUACAUGGUCAGUACUGUACUUGUAAGUGGUGGGUAAAUAUAAGAACGGUGGUGACCUCCCAAUCAUACCAACUUUUCUGCCUAUACUACCUGGACAACUUAUCUGCCUUUACUCUAUACAAACUUGUGAAAAAUCUCUGCAAUACCAAUCACUUAAUCUUAUCCUAAUUGCGUGUUUUGCCUAGAAAUUAUACUAACCUCAUACUAAUUAACUGCGUAAAUAAUUGCAAAAACUUACGUUUCAAUCUGCGCCACCUUUUCACCAUCAUCCAUGUUUGACGUUUCGGUGUUUUGAUCAUCAGAUAUGCAUAUUAAUAACAGCCAUGAACAUUUUUGUACCAAAGAACUGAUCAGUUUAUAUUCCCACUAUGUAUGGUUGAUUCAGGGCCGGUUUGAGCUGCUUUCCCUGUCCGGAUCUUUCACGCCGACCGAGAAGGGCGGAUCCAGAGACCGCUGCGGCGGGAUGAGCGUCUCUCUAGCGGCCGCCGAUGGCCGCGUCAUCGGAGGCGGCGUGGCUGGCCUCCUUGUUGCCGCAAGCCCGGUUCAGGUGAUCGACCAGCCAUUGUUACUUGAGCUAGUUACAUUGAUGAAUGUGCUAAAUCGAAUGAGAUGUUGGUAGCACAGUUUCUCUGAACUCUAUCUCAGUGUCUGAUACGGUUUGCUGUCAGGUUGUGGUGGGAAGCUUCCUUCCGAGCUACCAGAUGGAGCAGAACGGCAAGAAGCCGGUGAUCGAGAUGAAGACGGUGGCGGCGCAGCCGGCCAUGGGGUUCACCAUCUCCAGCGGCGGCGACAUGGAGGACUCGUACAGCGGAAGCCAGGCACGGGCCGGUAAGGGUGCGUCAGCGUUCAGGGUGGAGAACUGGACCGCCCAGCCGGUGGCAUCGGCGCCGCCCGCAGCCGAGGCGAGGAGGACGCCGUCGUCGGAGGCGGCCAAGGUCCCCGUCUCCGGAGGGUGAAGAGGAGGAGAGCUCGCCAGCCAGCCAGCCCUGCUCAGAAGCUCUCAGGGCUCUGCAAACGUGCGGAGAAAUUCGGAGGAAUUCAAAUAGUUGGAAAUUUAUACACCAUGUGAACUGAACUGAACUGAACUGAUCGAUGCCGCCAAUAGUUAAAAAUUUACAUGUAUCAAAAUACUUACACCUUGCAAUUAAUUAGUAUUCCUUGUGGAUCCAUUUUGUUUGUUCCUAUGGUUAAAUAUAUGGUACUCACUUCAAAAAUCCGAAGCUACUGAUCAACUUCUUCGUUUCUUCUCCCACGACCUACGUCGUCGUUUACUUCUGCCGGCUUUACUGGUUCAGGCUCAGUUGUGUUUUACCCUUUUUGAACUUCAGUGAUGGGAUCAUUUCCCGGUAAUAGCGUCUGAAAAGGCAGAGGAAGUCGUUGAACCUUCAACACUUUCGGUGUGACCUGGACUGACUCCACGAUGGUUAAAUUGACUCUAGGGUAGAUUUGUCUUUUGAUAUGACCAUACACGACUGUGGUCAACUCUGUACUACGUAAUUUUGUAAUAUCCUGCAAAGUUCAUGUCAUGUUCCUGCAAGCUAAAGUGGCUUUUCAUACGCUUCUUUUGGGAUGUGAUUUUCCAAAAAUACGAAUGUGAACAUGGUUCCACACGCACCCGCAUGAAUAGUGAAUUCAAAAAAAAUACUGGAAAAUUUUAAAAAUCCAGAAUUUUUUGGGUAUGAAACUUAGUUGACCAUUCUACUCACGUGUGAAGUUUCGUGAUGUAUUGACACCCAUGAUAAUCUUAGUGAAGAAUAUACAAUUGGGAUCAUACUAUUCAUCAAACAGUGUUUCCUAAUAUAGCUUCGAUUUUGUCAUUUUUGUCCAGAUUACCACGGAUGUGAUUUCUUUGUGAAACCUCAUACGCGAGUACACCGGUUGAGUAUGUAUAUUACAAGAAAAAACGGAUGUUUUUAUUUUCUCUAGUAUUUUUUGAAUUUAAUAUUUACUUCAUACGCGUGUGGAACCAUGUUCACCAAAUCCAUGUCCUAUGAUUUUCAUGCUACGAGGUCGUGUUUGACGACUCAUAAUUCUCGUUACUAUUUGCAUGCGGUCAUACAAAAAUUCCUGCUUUUUUCAUUCCUAUGAACCAAACAUGCAUCAUCACAGGAAUAAAAAUCCUAAGAAAUAAGAUCCUUUGAAAUUUGUACAAACUUUUCUUUAACAAAAAGCUAUAAAGAUUCAGCUCUGGUUCUCUCCACAUGAUUCAAUGGAAUGAAAAAAUUGUACAAUACAAUCCUAUAUGUGUUAGAAAUAAGUGGUUAUUCCCAUGUAUAACUUCUGAAAUCUCAAAUUGGCCUAUGAAUAAAAUGUCAAGUGUGAAGGAAAUAUGCCCUAGAGGCAAUAAUAAAGUUAUUAUUUAUUUCCUUAUUUCAUGAUAAAUAUUUAUUAUUCAUGCUAGAAUUGUAUUAACCGGAAACAUAAUACAUGUGUGAAUACAUAGACAAACAGAGUGUCACUAGUAUGCCUCUACUUGACUAGCUCGUUAAUCAAAGAUGGUUAUGUUUCCUAACCAUAGACAAAGAGUUGUUAUUUGAUUAACGGGAUCACAUCAUUAGGAGAAUGAUGUAAUUGACUUGACCCAUUCCGUUAGCUUAGCACUCGAUCGUUUAGUAUGUUGCUAUUGCUUUCUUCAUGACUUAUACAUGUUCCUAUGACUAUGAGAUUAUGCAACUCCCGUUUACCGGAGGAACACUUUGUGUGCUACCAAACGUCACAACGUAACUGGGUGAUUAUAAAGGAGCUCUACAGGUGUCUCCAAAGGUACAUGUUGGGUUGACGUAUUUCGAUAUUAGAAUUUGUCACUUUGAUUGUCGGAGAGGUAUCUCUGGGCCCUCUCGGUAAUGCACAUCACAUAAGCCUUGCAAGCAUUACAACUAAUGAGUUAGUUGUGAGAUGAUGUAUUACAGAAUGAGUAAAGAGACUUGCCGGUAACGAGAUUGAACUAGGUAUUAAGAUACCGACGAUCGAAUCUCGGGCAAGUAACAUACCGAUGACAAAGGGAACAACGUAUGUUGUUAUGCAGUCUGACCGAUAAAGAUCUUCGUAGAAUAUGUGGGAGCCAAUAUGAGCAUCCAGGUUCCGCUAUUGGUUAUUGACCGGAGACGUGUCUCGGUCAUGUCUAUAUUAUUCUCGAACCCGUAGGGUCCGCACGCUUAAGGUUUUGAUGACAGUUAUAUUAUGAGUUUAUGCAUUUUGAUGUACCGAAGUUUGUUCAGAGUCCCGGAUGUGAUCACGGACAUGACGAGGAGUCUCGAAAUGGUCGAGACAUAAAGAUUGAUAUAUUGGAAGCCUAUAUUUGGAUAUCAGAAGUGUUCCGGGUGAAAUCGGGAUUUUACCGGAGUACCGGGAGGUUACCGGAACCCCCCGGGAGGUAUAUGGGCCUUAGUGGGCUUUAGUGGAAGAGAGGAGAGGUGGCCAGGGCUGGGCCGCGUGCCCCUCCCCCUCUAGUCCAAAUAGGACAAGGAGAGGGGGGCGGCGCCCCCCCCCCCUUCCUUCUCUCUCUCCUCUUUCCCCCUCCCGAAUCCUAUUCCAACUAGGAAAGGGGGGGGGGGAAUCCUACUCCCGGUGGGAGUAGGACUCCUCCUGGCGCGCCCUCCUCCUGGCCGGCCGCACCUCCCCCUGCUCCUUUAUAUACGGGGGCAGGGGGCACCCCUAGACACACAAGUUGAUCCACGUGAUCAUAUUCUUAGCUGUGUGCGGUGCCCCCUUCCACCAUAAUCCUCGAUAAUAUUGUAGUGGUGCUUAGACGAAGCCCUGCGACAGUAGUACAUCAAGAUCGUCACCACGCCGUCGUGCUGACGGAACUCUUCCCCGACACUUUGCUGGAUCGGAGUCCGGGGAUCGUCAUCGAGCUGAACGUGUGCUAGAACUCGGAGGUGCCGUAGUUUCGGUGCUUGAUCGGACGGGCCAUGAAGACGUAUGACUACAUCAACCGCGUUGUGCUAACACUUCCGCUGUCGGUCUACAAGGGUACGUAGAUCACACUCUCCCCUCUCGUUGCUAUGCAUCGCCAUGAUCUUGCGUGUGCGUAGGAAUUUUUUUGAAAUUACUACGUUCCCCAACAGUGGCAUCCGAGCCUAGGUUUUAUGUGUUGAUGUUAUAUGCACGAGUAGAACACAAGUGAGUUGUGGGCGAUAUAAGUCAUAUUGUUUAUCAGCAUGUCAUACUUUGGUUCGGCGGUAUUGUUGAACGAAGCGGCCCGGACCGACAUUACGCGUACGCUUACACGAGACCGGUUCUCCCGAUGUGCUUUGCACAAAGGUGGCUAGCGGGUGACAGUUUCUCCAACUUUAGUUGAACCGAGUGUGGCUACGCCCGGUCCUUGCGAAGGUUAAAACAACACCAACUUGACAAACUAUCGUUGUGGUUUUGAUGCGUAGGUAAGAUUGGUUCUUGCUUAAGCCCGUAGCAGCCACGUAAAACUUGCAACAACAAAGUAGAGGACGUCUAACUUGUUUUUGCAGGGCAUGUUGUGAUGUGAUUGUUGGAAAUAUGCCCUAGACGCAAUAAUAAAUUAGUUAUUAUUAUAUUUCCUUCUUCAUGAUAAUCGUUUAUUAUCUAUGCUAGAAUUGUAUUGAUAGGAAACUCAGAUACAUGUGUGGAUACAUAGACAACACCAUAUCCCUAGUAAGCCUCUAGUUGACUAGCUCGUUGAUCAAUAGAUGGUUACGGUUUCCUGACCAUGGACAUUGGAUGUCAUUGAUAACGGGAUCACAUCAUUAGAAGAAUGAUGUGAUGGACAAGACCCAAUCCUAAGCAUAGCACAAGAUCGUGUAGUUCGCAUGCUAAAGCUUUUCUAAUGUCAAGUAUCAUUUCCUUAGACCAUGAGAUUAUGCAACUCCCGGAUACCGUAGGAAUACUUUGGGUGUGCCAAACGUCACAAUGUAACUGGGUGGCUAUAAAGGUGCACUACGGGUAUGUCCGAAAGUGUCUGUUGGGUUGGCACGAAUCGAGACUGAGAUUUGUCACUCCGUGUGACGGAGAGGUAUCUCUGGGCCCACUCGGUAGGACAUCAUCAUAAUGUGCACAAUGUGAUCAAGGAGUUGAUCACGGGAUGAUGUGUUACGGAACGAGUAAAGAGACUUGCUGGUAAUGAGAUUGAACAAGGUAUCGGGAUACCGACGAUCGAAUCUCGGGCAAGUAUCGUACCGCUAGACAAAGGGAAUUGUAUACGGGAUUGAUCGAAUCCUCGACAUCAUGGUUCAUCCGAUGAGAUCAUCGUGGAACAUGUGGGAACCAACAUGGGUAUCCAGAUCCCGAUGUUGGUUAUUGACCGGAGAACGUCUCGGCCAUGUCUGCAUGGUUCCCGAACCUGUAGGGUCUACACACUUAAGGUUCGAUGACGCUAGGGUUAUAAAGGAAGUUUGUAUGUGGUUACCGAAUGUUUUUCGAAGUCCCGGAUGAGAUCCCGGACGUUACAGGAGUUUCGGAAUGGUCCGGAGGUAAAGAUUUAUAUAUGGAAAGUCCUGUUUUGGUCACCGGAAAAGUUUCGGGUUUUAUCGGUAACGUAUCGGGACCAUCAGAAGCGUCCCGGGGGUCCACCAAGUGGGGCCACAAGCCCCGGAGGGCUGCAUGGGCCAAGUGUGGGAGGGGACCAGCCCCAGGUGGGCUGGUGCGCCCCCCCCCCCCAUAAGGGCCCAAGGCGCCUAAGGGGAGGAAGGGGGGCAAACUCUAAGGGCAGAUGGGCCUUAGGGCCCAUGCCUGGUGCGCCUCCCUCUCCCCCUCCACUUGGCCGCCACCAGAUGGGAUCUGGGCUGGCCGCCGCCCCUAGGGUGGAACCCUAGGUGGGGGCGCAGCCCCCUCCCUCUCCCCUAUAUAUAGUUGAGGUCUUUGGGGCUGCCAACACAGGAGUUUCUGACCUCUCCCUGGCGUAGCCCUACCUCUCUUUCUCCUCAUAUCUCGCGGUGCUUGGCGAAGCCCUGCUGGAUCACCACGCUCCUCCACCACCACCACGCCGUUGUGCUGCUGCUGGAUGGAGUCUUCCUCAACCUCUUCCUCUCUCCUUGCUGGAUCAAGGCAUGGGAGACGUCACCGGGCUGUACGUGUGUUGAACGCGGAGGUGCCGUCCGUUCGGCACUAGGAUCUCCGGUGAUUUGGAUCACGACGAGUACGACUCCUUCAACCCCGUUCUCUUGAACGCUUCCGCUUAGCGAUCUACAAGGGUAUGUAGAUGCACUCUCCUUCCCCUCGUUGCUGGUUUCUUCACAGAUAGAUCUUGGUGACACGUAGGAAAAUUUUGAAUUUCUGCUGCGUUCCCCAACAGUGGCAUCAUGAGCUAGGUCUAUUGCAUAGAUUCUAUGCACGAGUAGAACACAAAGUAGUUGUGGGCGUUGAUUUUGUUCAAUAUGCUUACCGUUACUAGUCCAAUCUUGUUUCGACGGUAUUGUGGGAUGAAGCGGCCCGGACCGACCUUACACGUACUCUUACGUGAGACUGGUUCCACCGACUGACAUGCACUAGUUGCAUAAGGUGGCUAGCGGGUGCCAGUCUCUCCCACUUUAGUCGGAACGGAUUCGAUGAAAAGGGUCCUUAUGAAGGGUAAAUAGCAAUUGGCAUAUCACGUUGUGGUUUUGCGUAGGUAAGAAACGUUCUUGCUAGAAACCCAUAGCAGCCACGUAAAACAUGCAAACAAUAAUUAGAGGACGUCUAACUUGUUUUUGCAGGGUAUGCUAUGUGAUGUGAUAUGGCCAAGAAGAAUGUGAUGAAUGAUAUGUGAUGUAUGAGAUUGAUCAUGUUCUUGUAAUAGGAAUCACGACUUGCAUGUCGAUGAGUAUGACAACCGGCAGGAGCCAUAGGAGUUGUCUUUAUUUAUUGUAUGACCUGCGUGUCAUUGAACAACGCCAUGUAAUUACUUUACUUUAUUGCUAACCGGUAGCCAUAGUAGUAGAAGUAAUAAGUUGGCGAGACAACUUCAUGGAGAUACGAUGAUGGAGAUCAUGGUGUCAUGCCGGUGACGAGAUGAUCAUGGAGCCCCAAGAUGGAGAUCAAAGGAGCUAUAUGAUAUUGGCCAUAUCAUGUCACUAUUAUUUGAUUGCAUGUGAUGUUUAUCAUGUUUAUGCAUCUUAUUUGCUUAGAACAACGGUAGUAAAUAAGAUGAUCCCUCAUUAAAAUUUCAAGAAAGUGUUCCCCCUAACUGUGCACCGUUGCGAAAGUUCGUCGUUUUGAAGCACCACGUGAUGAUCGGGUGUGAUAGAUUCUAACGUUCACAUACAACGGGUGUAAGCCAGAUUUACACACGCGAAACACUUAGGUUGACUUGACGAGCCUAGCAUGUACAGACAUGGCCUCGGAACACAAGAGACCGAAAGGUCGAGCAUGAGUCGUAUGGUAGAUACGAUCAACAUGAAGAUGUUCACCGAUGUUGACUAGUCCGUCUCACGUGAAGAUCGGACACGACCUAGUUGACUCGGAUCAUGUAAUCACUUAGAUGACUAGAGGGAUGUCUAUCUGAGUGGGAGUUCAUAAGAUGAACUUAAUUAUCCUGAACAUAGUCAAAAGGUCUUCGCAAAUUAUGUCGUAGCUCGUGCUUCAGUUCUACUGUUUAGAUAUGUUCCUAGAGAAAAUUUAGUUGAAAGUUGAUAGUAGCAAUUAUGCGGACUAGGUCCGUAAACUGAGGAUUGUCCUCAUUGCUUCAUAGAAGGCUUAUGUCCUUAAUGCACCGCUCAGUGUGCUGAACCUCGAACGUCGUCUGUGGAUGUUGCGAACAUCUGACAUACACAUUUUGAUAACUACGUGAUAGUUCAGUUAAACGGUUUAGAGUUGAGGCACCGAAGAUGUUUUGAAACGUCGCGAAACAUAUGAGAUGUUUCGAGGGCUGAAAUUGGGAUUUCAGGCUCGUGCCCACGUCAAGAGGUAUAAGACCUCCAACGAUUUUCUUAGCCUGCAAAUUAAGGGAGAAAAGCUCAAUUGUUGAGCUUGUGCUCAGAUUGUCUGAGUACAACAAUCAUCUGAAUCGAGUGGGAGUUGAUCUUCCAGAUGAGAUAGUGAUGUUUCUCCGAAGUCAUUACCACCAAGCUGCUAGAGCUUCGUGAUGAACUAUAAUAUAUCGGGGACAUAUAUGAUGAUCCUUGAGAUAUUCGCGAUGUUUGACACCACAAAAGCAGAAAUCAAGAAGGAGCAUCAAUUGUUGAUGGUUGGUGAAACCACUAGUUUCCAGAAGGGCAAGGGCAAGAAGGGAUACUUCAUGAAACGGCAAAUCAGCUGCUGCUCUAGUGAAGAAACCCAAGGUUGAACCCAAACCCGAGACUAAGUGCUUCUGUAAUAAGGGGAACAACCACUGUAGCAGAAUUACCCUAGAUACUUGGUAGAUAAGAAGGCUGGCAAGGUCGAUAGAAGUAUAUUGGAUGUACAUUGUGUUAAUGUGUACUUUACUAGUACUCCUAGUAGCACCAUGGUAUUAGAUACCGGUUCGGUUGCUAAAUGUUAGUAAACUCGAAAUAAAAGGCUGCGGAGUAAACGGAGACUAGCUAAAGGUGAGCUGGCAAUAUGUGUUGGAAGUUUUUUCCAAGCUUGAUGUGAUCAAGCAUCGCACGCUCCCUCUACCAUCGAGAUUGGUGUUUGCGUUGAGCAUAGACAUGAUUGGAUUAUGUCUAUCGCAAUACGGUUAUUCAUUUAAUGAGAAUAAUGGUUACUCUGUUUAUUUGAAUAAUACCUUCAAUGGUCUUGCACCUAAAAUGAAUGGUUUGUUGAAUCUCGAUCGUAGUGAUACACAUGUUCAUGCCAAAAGAUAUAAGAUAGUAAUGAUAGUACCACCUACUUGUGGCACUGCCACGUAAGUCAUAUUGGUAUAAAACGCAUGAAGAAGCUCCAUGUUGAUGGAUCUUUGGGCUCACUCGUUUUGAAGAGUUUGAGACAUGCGAACCAUGUCUAUUGGUGUAUAUGCAUGAAGAAACUCCAUGCAAAUGUACCGUUUGGACUCACUUGUUUUUGAAUCACUUGAGACAUGCAAAUCAUACCACAUGGGCAAGAUGACUGAAAGCCUCGUUUUCAGUAAAAUGGAACUAGAAAGCAACUUGCUGGAAGUAAUACAUUUUGAUGUGUGCAGUCCAAUGAGUGCUGAGGCGUGUAGUGGAUAUCGUUAUGUUCUUACUUCACAGAUGAUUUGAGUAGAUGUUUACUUGAUGAAUCACGAGUCUGAAUUAUUGAAAGGUUCAAGUAAUUUCAGGGUGAAGUUGAAAGAUCGUCGUGACAAGAGGAUAAAAGAUCUAUGAUAUGAUCAUAGAGAUGAAUAUCUGAAUUACGAGUUUGGCACAGAAUUAAGACAUUGUAGAAACUGUUUCACAACUAAUACAGCCUGGAACACCAUAGUGUGAUGGUGUGUCCGAACAUCAUAACUGCACCCUAUUGGAUAUGAUGCAUACCAUGAUGUCUCUUACCGAAUUACCACGAUAGUUUAUGGGUUAGGCAUUAGAUACAACCACAUUCACUUUAAAUAGGGCACCACGUAAUUCCGAUGAGAUGACACCGUAUGAACUAUGGUUUAGAGAAACCUAAGCUGUCAUUUCUUAGUUUGGGGCUGCAACGCUUAUGUGAAAAAGUUUCAGGCUGAUAAGCUUGAACCCAAAGCGGAUAAAUGCAUUUUCAUAGGACACCCAAAAUAGUUGGGUAUACCUCCUGUCUCAGAUCCGAAAGCAAUAAGGGAUUGUUUCUAGAAUCGGGUCCUUUCUCGAGGAAAAGUUUCUCUCGAAAGAAUUAAGUGGGAGGAUGGUGGAGACUUGAUGAGGUUAUUAAACCGUCUCUUCAACUAGUGUGUGGCAGGGCAUAGGAAGUUGUUCCUAUGGCACCUACACCAAUUGAGGUGGAAGCUUAUGAUAGUGAUCAUGAAACUUUAGAUCAAGUCACUACCAAACCUCGUGGGAUGACAAGGAUGCGUACUACUUCAGAGUGGUACAUAAUCCUGUCUUGGAAGUCAUGUUGCUAGACAACAAUGAACCUACGAGCUAUGGAGAAGCGAUGGUGGGCCCGGAUUCCGAUAAAUGGCUCGAGGCCAUAAAAUCCGAGAGAGGAUCCAUGUAUGAAAAUAAAGUGUAGACUUUGGCAGAACGGCUCGAUGGUCGUAAGGUUGUUGAGUACAGAUGGAUUUUAAAAGGAAGACGGACAAUGAUGGUAAGUAUCACCAUUAAGAAACCUCGACUUGUCGUUAAGAUGUUUUCCGACAAGGUCAAGGAGUUGACUACGAUGAGACUUUCUCACUCGUAGCGAUGCUAAGAGUCUGUUGGAAUUAUAUUAGCGAUUACUGCAUUAUUUAUGAAAUCUUGCAGAUAGGAUGUCAAAAACAUUGCUUUCUCAACGAUUUUCUUGAGGAAAGGUUGUAUGUGAUACAACCGGAAGGUUUUGUCAAUCCUGAAAAAUGCUAAUAAGUAUGCAAAGCUCCAGCAAUCCUUCUAAGGACUGGAGUAAGCAUCUCGGAGUUGGAAUGUAUGCUUUGAUGAUGAUCAAAGAUUUUGGGUUUAUACAAAGUUUAUGAGAAACUUGUAUUUCCAAAGAAGUGAGUGGGAGCACUAUAGAAUUUCUGAUGAGUAUAUGUUGUUGACAUAUUGUGGAUCAGAAAUGAUGUAGAAUUUCUGGAAAGCAUAUAGGGUUAUUUGAAAAGUGUUUUUCAAUAGAAAACCUGGAUUAGGCUACUUGAACAUUGAGCAUCAAGAUCUAUGAGGAUAGAUCAAAAACGCUAAAUGGUACUUUCAAAUGAGCACAUACCUUGACAUGAUCUUGAAGGUGUUCAAGAUGGAUCAGUCAAGGAAGGAGUUCUUGCCUGAGUUGUAAGGUAUGAAGUUAAGACUUAAAGCUCGACCACGGCAGAAGAAAGAGAAAGGACGGAUGUCGUCCCCUAUGCUUUUGUCAUAGGCUCUAUAUGGUACGCCAUGCUGAGUACCGCACCUGAUGUGUGCCUUGCCACAUGUCUGGCAAGAGGGUACAAAGGUGAUCCAGGAGUGGAUCACUAGAUAGCGGUUAAAAUUAUCCUUGGAGUAAUAAGGACAUGUUUCUCGAUUAUGGAGGUGAUAAAGAGUUCGGCGUAAAGGGUUACAUCGAUGCAAGCUUUAACACCUAUCCGAAUGACUCUGAGUAGCAAACCGGAUACGUAUAGUGGAGCAACCAUUUGGAAUAGCUCCAAGUGGAGCGUCGAAGCAGCAUUUAUAAUAUGACCUAGAGAUUUGCAAAGUACAUACGGAUCUGAUUGUUGCAGACCCGUUGACUAAAACCUCUCUCACAAGCAAAACAUGAUCAAACCCCAGAACUCAUUGAGUCUUAAUCACAUGAUGAUGUGAACUAGUUUAGUGACACUAGUAAACUCUUUGGAUGUUGGUCACAUGGCGAUGUGACCUGUGAGUGUUAAUCACAUGGCGAUGUGAACUAGAUUAUUGACUCUAGUGCAAGUGGGAGACUGUUGGAAAUAUGCCCUAGAGGCAAUAAUAAAUUGGUUAUUAUUAUAUUUCCUUGUUCAUGAUAAUCGUUUAUUAUCCAUGCUAGAAUUGUAUUGAUAGGAAACUCAGAUACAUGUGUGGAUACAUAGACAACACCAUGUCCCUAGUAAGCCUCUAGUUGACUAGCUCGUUGAUCAAUAAAUGUUUACGAUUUCCUGACCAUGGACAUUGGAUGUCAUUGAUAACGGGAUCACAUCAUUAGAAGAAUGAUGUGAUGGACAAGACCCAAUCCUAAGCAUAGCACAAGAUCGUGUAGUUCGCAUGCUAAAGCUUUUCUAAUGUCAAGUAUCAUUUCCUUAGACCAUGAGAUUAUGCAACUCCCGGAUACCGUAGGAAUACUUUGGGUGUGCCAAACGUCACAACGUAACUGGGUGGCUAUAAAGGUGCACUACGGGUAUCUCCGAAAGUGUCUGUUGGGUUGGCACGAAUCGAGACUGGGAUUUGUCACUCCGUGUGACGGAGAGGUAUCUCUGGGCCCACUCGGUAGGACAUCAUCAUAAUGUGCACAAUGUGAUCAAGGAGUUGAUCACGGGAUGAUGUGUUAUGGAACGAGUAAAGAGACUUGCCGGUAACGAGAUUGAACAAGGUAUCGGGAUACCGACGAUCGAAUCUCGGGCAAGUAUCGUACCGCUAGACAAAGGGAAUUGUAUACGGGAUUGAUCGAAUCCUCGACAUCGUGGUUCAUCCGAUGAGAUCAUCGUGGAACAUGUGGGAACCAACAUGGGUAUCCAGAUCCCGCUGUUGGUUAUUGACCGGAGAACGUCUCGGUCAUGUCUGCAUGGUUCCCAAACCCGUAGGGUCUACACACUUAAGGUUCGAUGACGCUAGGGUUAUAAAGGAAGUUUGUAUGUGGUUACCGAAUGUUGUUCGGAGUCCCGGAUGAGAUCCCAGAUGUCACGAGGAGUUCCGGAAUGGUCCGGAGGUAAAGAUUUAUAUAUGGGAAGUCCCGUUUUGGUCACCGGAAAAGUUUCGGGUUUUAUCGGUAACGUACCGGGACCACCGGGAGGGUCCCGGGGGUCCACCAAGUGGGGCCACAAGCCCCGGAGGGCUGCAUGGGCCAAGUGUGGGAGGGGACCAGCCCCAGGUGGGCUGGUGCGGCCCCCCCACAAGGGCCCAAGGCGCCUAAGGGGAGGAAGGGGGGCAAACCCUAAGGGCAGAUGGGCCUUAGGGCCCAUGCCUGGUGCACCUCCCUCUCCCCCUCCACUUGGCCGCCACCAGAUGGGAUCUGGGCUGGCCGUCGCCCCUAGGGUGGAACCCUAGGUGGGGGCGCAGCCCCCUCCCUCUCCCCUAUAUAUAGUUGAGGUCUUUGGGGCUGCCAACACAUGAGUUUCUGACCUCUCCCUGGCACGGCCCUACCUCUCUUUCUCCUCAUAUCUCGCGGUGUUUGGCGAAGCCCUGCUGGAUCACCACGCUCCUCCACCACCACCACGCCAUUGUGCUGCUGCUGGAUGGAGUCUACCUCAACCUCUCCCUCUCUCCUUGCUGGAUCAAGGCAUGGGAGACGUCACCGGGCUGUACGUGUGUUGAACGUGGAGGUGCCGUCCGUUCGGCACUAGGAUCUCCGGUGGUUUGGAUCACGACGAGUACGACUCCUUCAACCCCGUUCUCUUGAACGCUUCCGCUUAGCAAUCUACAAGGGUAUGUAGAUGCACUCUCCUUCCCCUCGUUGCUGGUUUCUCCACAGAUAGAUCUUGGUGACACGUAGGAAAAUUUUGAAUUUCUGCUGCGUUCCCCAAUAGUGAUAUGGUCAAGACAUGAUGCUAAAUUUUAUUGUAUGAGAUGAUCAUGUUUUGUAACCGAGUUAUCGGCAACUGGCAGGAGCCAUAUGAUUGUCGCUUUAUUGUAUGCAAUGCAAUCGCGCUGUAAUGCUUUACUUUAUCACUAAGCGGUAGCGAUAGUCGUGGAAGCAUAAGAUUGGCGAGACAACAACGAUGCUACGAUGGUGAUCAAGGUGUCGCGCCGGUGACGAUGGUGAUCAUGACGGUGUUUCGAAGAUGGAGAUCACAAGCACAAGAUGAUGAUGGCCAUAUCAUAUCACUUAUAUUGAUUGCAUGUGAUGUUUAUCUUUUAUGCAUCUUAUCUUGCUUUGAUUGACGGUAGCAUUAUAAGAUGAUCUCUCACUAAUUAUCAAGAAGUGUUCUCCCUGAGUAUGCACCGUUGCGGAAGUUCUUCGUGCUGAGACACCACGUGAUGAUCGGGUGUGAUAGGCUCUACGUUCAAAUACAAUGGGUGCAAAACAGUUGCGCACGCGGAAUACUCAGGUUAUACUUGACGAGCCAAGCAUAUACAGAUAUGGCCUCAGAACACGGAGACCGAAAGGUCGAGCGUGAAUCAUAUAGUAGAUAUGAUCAACAUAGUGAUGUUCACCAAUGAAACUACUCCAUCUCACGUGAUGAUCGGACAUGGUUUAGUUGAUUUGGAUCAUGUGAUCACUUAGAGGAUUAGAGGGAUGUCUAUCUAAGUGGGAGUUCUUAAGUAAUAUGAUUAAUUGAACUUAAAUUUAUCAUGAACUUAGUCCUGGUAGUAUUUUGCAAAUCAUGUUGUAGAUCAAUAGCUCGCGUUGUUGCUUCCCUGUGUUUAUUUUGAUAUGUUCCUAGAGAAAAUUGUGUUGAAAGAUGUUAGUAGCAAUGAUGCGGAUUGGAUCCGUGAUCUGAGGUUUAUCCUCAUUGCUGCACAGAAGAAUUAUGUCCUUGAUGCACCGCUAGGUGACAGACCUAUUGCAGGAGUAGAUGCAGACGUUAUGAACAUUUGGCUAGCUCAAUAUGAUGACUACUUAAUUGUUUAGUGCACCAUGCUUAACGGCUUAGAAUCGGGACCUCAAAAGACGUUUUGAACGUCAUGGACCAUAUGAGAUGUUCCAGGAGUUGAAGUUAAUAUUUCAAGCAAAUACCCUAGUUGAGAGAUAUGAAGUCUCCAACAAGUUCUAUAGCCAAAAGAUGGAGGAGAAUCGCUCAACUAGUGAGCAUGUGCUUAGAUUGUCUGGGUACUACAAUCACUUGAAUCAAGUGGGAGUUAAUCUUCCAGAUAAGAUAGUGAUUGACAGAAUUCUCUAGUCACCAUCACCAAGUUAGUAGAACUUCGUGAUGAACUAUAGUAUGCAAGGGAUGACAAAAACGACUCCCGAGCUUGUCAUGAUGAUGAAAUCGAUGAAGGUAGAAAUCAAGAAAGAGCAUCAAGUGUUGAUGGUAGACAAGACCAGUAGUUUCAAUAAAAGGGCAAAGGGAAGAAGGGGAACUUUAAGAAGAACGACAAGCAAGUUGCUGCUCAAGUGAAGAAGCCCAAGUCUGGUCCUAAGCCCGAGACUAAGUGCUUCUACUGCAAAGGGACUGGUCACUGGAAGCGGAACUGCCCCAAGUAUUUGGCGAAUAAGAAGGAUGGCAAAGUGAACAAAGGUAUAUUUGAUAUACAGAUUAUUAAUGUGUAUUUUACUAGUGUUCGUAGCAACCCCUCGGUAUUUGAUACUGGUUCAGUUGCUAAGAGUAGUAACUCGAAACGGGAGUUGCAGAAUGAACAGAAACUAGUUAAGGGUGAAGUGACGAUGUGUGUUGGAAGUAGUUCCAAGAUUGAUAUGAUCAUCAUCGCACACUCCCUAUACUUUCGGGAUUAGUGUUGAACCUAAAUAAGUGUUAUUUGGUGUUUGCGUUGAGCAUGAAUAUGAUUUGAUCAUGUUUAUUGCAAUACGGUUAUUCAUUUAAGUUAGAGAAUAAUUGUUGUUCUGUUUACAUGAAUAAAACCUUAUAUGGUUACACACCCAAUGAAAAUGGUUCAUUGGAUCUCGAUCAUAGUGAUACACAUAUUCAUAAUAUUGAAGACAAAAGAUGCAAAGUUAAUAAUGAUAGUGCAACUUAUUUGUGGCACUGCCGUUUAGGUCAUAUUGGUGUAAAGCGCAUGAAGAAACUCCAUGCUGAUGGGAUUUUGGAAUCACUUGAUUAUGAAUCACUUGAUGCUUGCGAACCAUGCCUUAUGGCCAAGAUGACUAAGACUCCGUUCUUCGGAACAAUGGAGCGAGCAACUGACUUAUUGGAAAUAAUACAUACUGAUGUAUGUGAUCCGAUGAGUGUUGAGGCUCGCGGCGGGUAUCGUUAUUUUCUGACCUUCAUAGAUGAUUUGAGCAGAUAUGGGUAUAUCUACUUGAUGAAACACAAGUCUGAAACAUUUGAAAAGUUCAAAGAAUUUCAGAGUGAAGUGGAGAAUCAUCGUAACAAAAAUAAAAAGUUUCUACGAUAUGAUCGCAGAAGUAAAAUAUUUGAGUUACGAGUUUGGCCUUCAGUUAAAAACAAUGUGAAAUAGUUUCACUACUCACGCCACCUGGAACACCACAGCAUAAUGGUGUGUCCGAACGUCAUAACUGUACUUUAUUAGAUAUAGUGCGAACUAUGAUGUCUCUUACCAAUCUACCACUAUCGUUUUGGGGAUAUGCUCUAGAGACGGCCGCAUUCACGUUAAAUAGGGCACCACAAAAUCCUUUGAGAUGACGCCAUAUGAACUGUGGUUUGGCAAGAAACCAAAGUUGUCAUUUCUGAAAGUUUGGGGCUGCGAUGCUUAUGUGAAAAAAACUUCAACCUGAUAAGCUCGAACCCAAAUCGGAGAAAUGUGUCUUCAUAGGAUAUCCAAAGGAAACUAUUGGAUACACCUUCUAUCACAGAUCCGAAGGCAAGACUUUUGUUGCUAAAUUCGGAAACUUUUUACAGAAGGAGUUUCUCUCGAAAGAAGUGAGUGGGAGGAAUGUAGAACUUGACGAGGUAAAUGUACCUGCUCCCUUAUUGGAAAGUAGUACAUCACAAAAACUAGUUUCUGUGACACCUACACCAAUUAGUGAGGAAGCUAAUGAUAAUGAUCAUGAAACUUCAGAACAAGAUACUACUGAACCUCAUAGAUCAACCAGAGUAAGAUCCACGCCAGAGUGGUAUGGUAAUCCUGUUCUGGAAGUCAUGCUACUAGAUCAUGAUAAACCAACGAACUAUGAAGAAGUGAUGGUGAGCCCAGAUUCCGCAAAAUGGCUUGAAGCCAUGAAAUCUGAGAUGGGAUCCAUGUAUGAGAACAAAGUAUGAACUUUGGUUGACUUGCCCAAUGAUCGGCAAGCAAUAGAAAAUAAAUGGAUCUUCAAGAGGAAGACGGACGCUGAUAGUAGUGUUACUAUCUACAAAGCUAGACUUGUCGAAAAAGGUUUUUGACAAAGUUCAAGGUGUUGACUACGAUAAAAUUUUCUCACUCGUAGCGAUGCUUAAGUCUGUCCAAAUCAUGUUAGCAAUUGCCGCAUUUUUAUGAAAUCUAGCAAAUGGAUAAACAAAACUACAUUCCUUAAUGGAUUUAAAGAAGAGUUGUAUAUGAUGCAACCAGAAGGUUUUCAAUCCUAAAGGUGCUAACAAAAUAUGCAAGCUCCAACGAUCCAUUUAUGGACUGGUGCAAGCAUCUCGGAGUUAGAAUAUACGCUUUGAUAAGUUGAUCAAAGCAUAUAGUUUUAUACAGAUUUGCGGUGAAGCCUGUAUUUACAAGAAAGUGAGUGGGAGCACUACAACAUUUCUGAUAAGUAUAUGUGUAUGACAUAUUGUUGAUCGUAAAUAAUGUAGAAUUAUUCUGCAAAGCAUAAAGGAGUGUUUGAAAGGAUUUUUUCAAAAGAAAGGCCUCGGUGAAGCUGCUUACAUAUUGAGCAUCAAGAUCUAUAGAGAUAGAUCAAGACGCUUGAUAAGUUUUUUCAAUGAGUACAUACCUUGACAAGAUUUUGAAGUAGUUCAAAAUGGAACAGUCAAAGAAAAGAGUUCUUGGCUGUGUUACAAGGUGUGAAAUUGAGUAAGACUCAAAGCCCGACCACGGCAGAAGAUAGAACGAGAAUGAAAAUCAUUCCCUAUGCCUCAGCCAUAGGUUCUAUAAAAUAUGUCAUGUUGUGUACCAGAUCUAUUGUAUACCCUACACUGAUUUUGGCAAGGGAGUACAAUAGUGAUCUAGGAGUAGAUCACUGGAUAGCGGUCAAAAUUAUUCUUAGUGCAAUAAGGAUAUAUUUCUCGAUUAUGGACAUGACAAAAAGGUUCGUCGUAAAGGGUUAUGUCGAUGCAAAUUUUGACACUGAUAUAGAUGACUCUAAGUCUCAAUCUGGAUACAUAUUGAAAGUGGGAGCAAUUAGCUAUAGUAGCUCCGUGCAGAGCAUUGUUGACAUAGAAAUUUGCAAAAUACAUACGGAUCUGAAUAUAGCAGACCCAUUGACUAAACUUCUCUCACAGGCAAAACAUGAUCACACCUUAGUACUCUUUGGGUGUUAAUCACAUAGCGAUGUGAACUAGAUUAUUGACUCUAGUAAACCCUUUGAGUGUUGGUCACAUAAUGAUGUGAACUAUUGGUGCUAAAUCACAUGGCAAUGUGAACUAGAUUAUUGACUCUAGUGCAAGUGGGAGACUAAAGGAAAUAUGCCCUAGAGGCAAUAAUAAAGUUAUUAUUUAUUUCCUUAUUUCAUGAUAAAUGUUUAUUAUUCAUGCCAGAAUUGUAUUAACCGGAAACAUAAUACAUGUGUGAAUACAUAGACAAACAGAGUGUCACUAGUAUGCCUCCACUUGACUAGCUCGUUAAUCAAAGAUGGUUAUGUUUCCUAACCAUAGACAAAGAGUUGUUAUUUGAUUAACGGGAUCACAUCAUUAGGAGAAUGAUGUGAUUGACUUGACCCAUUCCGUUAGCUUAGCACUCGAUCGUUUAGUAUGUUGCUAUUGCUUUAUUCAUGACUUAUACAUGUUCUUAUGACUAUGAGAUUAUGCAACUCCCGUUUACCGGAGGAACACUUUGUGUGCUACCAAACGUCACAACGUAACUGGGUAGUUAUAAAGGAGCUCUACAGGUGUCUCCAAAGGUACAUGUUGGGUUGGCGUAUUUCGAGAUUAGGAUUUGUCACUCCGAUUGUCGGAGAGGUAUUUCUGGGCCCUCUCGGUAAUGCACAUCACAUAAGCCUUGCAAGCAUUACAACUAAUGAGUUAGUUGUGAGAUUAUGUAUUACGGAACGAGUAAAGAGACUUGCCGGUAACGAGAUUGAACUAGGUAUUAAGAUACCGAUGAUCGAAUCUCGGGCAAGUAACAUACCGAUGACAAAGGGAACAACGUAUGUUGUUAUGCAGUCUGACCGAUAAAGAUCUUCGUAGAAUAUGUGGGAGCUAAUAUGAGCAUCCAGGUUCCGCUAUUGGUUAUUGACCGGAGACGUGUCUCGGUCAUGUCUACAUUGUUCUCGAACCCGUAGGGUCCGCACGCUUAAGGUUUUGAUGACAGUUAUAUUAUGAGUUUAUGCAUUUUGAUGUACCGAAGUUUGUUCAGAGUCCCGGAUGUGAUCACGGACAUGACGAGGAGUCUCGAAAUGGUCAAGACAUAAAGAUUGAUAUAUUGGAAGCCUAUAUUUGGAUAUCGGAAGUGUUCCGGGUGAAAUCGGGAUUUUACCGGAGUACCGGGAGGUUACCGGAACCCCCGGGAGGUAUAUGGGCCUUAGUGGGCUUUAGUGGAAGAGAGGAGAGGUGGCCAGGGCUGGGCCGCGCGCCCCUCCCCCCUUAGUCCGAAUAGGACAAGGAGAGGGGGGGCGGCGCCCCCCCUUCCUACUCUCUCUCCUCUUUCCCCCUCCCGAAUCCUAUUCCAACUAGGAAAGGGGGGAAUCCUACUCCCGGUGGGAGUAGGACUCCUCCUGGCGCGCCCUCCUCCUGGCCGGCCGCACCUCCCCCUGCUCCUUUAUAUACGGGGGCAGGGGGCACCCCUAGACACACAAGUUGAUCCACAUGAUCAUAUUCUUAGCUGUGUGCGGUGCCCCCUUCCACCAUAAUCCUCGAUAAUAUUGUAGCGGUGCUUAGACGAAGCCCUGCGAUAGUAGUACAUCAAGAUCGUCACCACGCCGUCAUGUUGACGGAACUCUUCCCCGACACUUUGCUGGAUCGGAGUCCGGGAAUCGUCAUCGAGCUGAACGUGUGCUAGAACUCGGAGGUGCCGUAGUUUCGGUGCUUGAUUGGUCGGGCCGUGAAGACGUACGACUACAUCAACCGCGUUGUGCUAACGCUUCCGCUGUCGGUCUACAAGGGUACGUAGAUCACACUCUCCCCUCUCGUUGCUAUGCAUCACCAUGAUCUUGCGUGUGCGUAGGAAAUUUUUUGAAAUUACUACGUUCCCCAACAAAGUGGUGGGUAUAAAGUUUAUUCCCACUUCGAAAGCUAUCUUUAUAUAGCCGGUUCUCGCCACCACACUAAAUGAUGUGUUGAGAAGAGAGAGAUAAAACCACACACGCACUCGUCUCGCCACACCGGGCUCGGCCACCGAAAUCUGGUUCGUGAUCUUGCAGGGGCGCGGCUUCCUUAUGUCGUUUUAAUUUUUUUGAUGUCUUGGCAGACAAGUUGGUCGUUUACUUGUCUGGUAAGUUCACAACUUGAAAAUAAAGUUGGAUUGAUAUCGUGAUCACGACACGAUACAACCUUGGUCCUCCUAUAUAUACUACUUACCGGCCGCGGCCAAAGACAGACAGAAACGUGGGGUUUUGCCUCAUCUCGCACCUUGCGCCGCCAGCAUUGUCAACUCCAUCAAGAACGUCGUUGUGCAUCUUCAUACAUGAGAGCAUAUCUUCGGAACCGUUCGUCCUUGUGAUCUUCCAUCGGGUGAGGACAAAUUAGGUUUUGAGAAGCGCUAUGUGCGACUGCUCAAGUUCGUCACCACAGGUCGUCUUCCAUCCAAGUCAAGCAGCACUACUCAUUGUUGUCUUCAAUGCUAUAUGCGUCAGGUCAUCACCAACAUCGUCAUCAACAACGUCGCUCCAACAGAAACUACGACUACUAACAAACAAUAUGUGUGUCGUAAUCUGUUCAUGUCUUAAGUUAUGGUUGUUGUUACAUGUGUCGUGUUGUUGUGCAUAUUUUUCCGUCCAUCUAAUAUGCUAAACUGUUGCAUGCUAAUUAUUGUUCUAGUAAUGAAUUACUGGAAUUAAUCACAAAUUUGCCUCACAUUCCAACAAUAUGAACCAGCAAAUCGAGAGGGUAUUGAAUUUCUUAUAUUCCCGUGAUUAAAGCCGGUCGGGACUCUAGCGGCGGGAGCGGAUGAAUGGAUCAUAUUGAAGGAAAUACUAGAGAUAUGAACUCCCCAAUGUGUGUAGCAUAUGUAUUUUGUUGUGUUGGACAUGUUGGUUAUGUGCAUCGCCCUAUGCAGAGGUCGGUCAUUCCUUCAAUGCGGUUGUAUUACCUUGAUAUAUCAAUUAAAUGAAAUGUUCUUUAUCGAAAAAAUCCACUUUUGAAGUAAGUGCAGGUAUUUCACAAAAUUAAAGUGUGUGGACAUGGAACCCAUGUUUGGGGGAUGAGGUGGAUAUUCCCACUGACUAGUUACAAUACAUUAAUAGAAAUCAAAAAGUUUAAGAGUUUUGAUGCGUUGUGCAUCGGAAAUGAGAGGGUUUUCACUCCCGUCGACCGAGGAAGAAAUCGAUGGUCUAUUGAUUGGAAGGUUGGCCGAAUAUCUGCCCGUGAUGAAGUACUCUUUGAAUUAUUCGCUAUAUUAUUGCCUCGAUCGGGGUUAAAGCCCCGUGUCAUUGUGCAGUCGCGUGUGCACAUGGGAUUAGGGGUGGAAUUCGAGUCGAGUCGAUCCACCUCGACUUGACUCGCUAAAGCUCGUUUCUUUAAUGAGCUAGCUCGACUCGACUCGUUACUAUAGCGAGCUCAAAUCCAAGAUUGGCUCGACUCGUAUAACUCGCGAGCUGACUCGUUUAGCUUGUUAAGCUCGUUAAAGAUAUGAACAUUAGACCUUAAGAAUAUGAUAAAAAGAUUAAAUGAGAAUUUAGUAUGUGCAUAUGUGGUCAUGUACGUGUGAGUCUUCUGGGUGGCUCGGCCUUGAGGGACUGGGCCUUGUGUUGGGACGCAAGGUGUUUAGUGGCUGUAUUUUACUAUCCCUAAAAAACGCAGAUUUUUUUAUCAAGCUUAACGAGUUACACGAGUACUCGUGAGAUCAGCUCGCUUAACUUGGUAUGUAAACGAUCUUAAACUAAAGCUUGACUCGGCUCAUUAUUCUUCGAGUUCGAGUCGAUUCGAGCCAAGUCACGAGGAGUGCUGCUAUGCAGACGAUAGCCGUUGGACGAUUCCUGGACGAUAGUGCAAAUCAGACCAUCCAUACAAAGGACUAGGUGCAACUCAGCCAGUGGAUUAAACAUAUCAUGCCUGAGUCGUCCAGCAGUGUCGUUUGUGAGGUAGUUUCGAGUCACGAACUACUCAUUUAGCUCACGAGCUUCGAGCUUUUUUUCCAACCCUACACGGGACCCAUGUUUGGGCCAACAAGGAAAGCCGACGGAUAUCAUUUUUAUCUUGUGUUUGCGUAUGAUGCAGUGAUCAUGUGGACGUGUCACGCGUGGUAGACCGAUCGAUGGAAGCACGCUGCCAUGCAUGGCCACACUAUCCUGCCUACCUACACUUGGAAGCAAGAAAAGCGCAGUGAAGAUGUCUCCGUCUAUGAUCUAUUCUUUAGCCGGCGGCUGCUAGAUUAGCUACAUGCCAAUGUGUUGGCCGGCAGACGACAUGCAUGACGAUGACGAUCGAUCGAUAUCCCCUGACACUCUAACUAGCUGCCCCUCACGAAAUUUCCUGCAUGCUGGUACUGCGACGACCCCGUAGCUAGGAGAGAUCUUUCAUACGUAUAAUCUGCCGUACAUAAUUUAAAAUACUGUGUUUGUUUAGAGGUAGCGGAAGAUCCACCAAAACUGUCGUAUGCACGCCCCCACUGCAGCGGCAGCAGGGCGGCAACUCCACGGUGGAGAUCCCACUAGACGACGCACCAGCGACAGUGCCGCCGGCUAGCUGAGCCGAGGAGGAGGCCGUCGUCUGUCGCAGAUCAGGUCAACAGACAACUUACCCAGCUAGCUAGCCCUGCUGCGUGAGCGUGACUCCAUGGAUUGCUCCCUGGUGAUUCAGAAGCUGCCGCGGGAGCUCAUCCGGCGUUGCAUUUUGCAAAUGCGCAUAGGCAUUCACUGCGUUUGAGGAAGGAAUUGAAGCACAAUCGUCAACAUCAAAUUAAUCUAAGCUCCGAUCCUACGCCCCCAUGUCCAGACUCGGGUCUCUCGAUGGUUUGGAUCUCGCUUGCUAAUUCCGUAGCACGUUCUUCUUAAUGGAAUCACAGCAGCUCUCCUGCUGUCUUUCAAAAAAAAAAAAAUCCGAAGCACGGACUGUCUUCUCUUGGCUAGCUUGGACGCAUAUUGGUCCACGAAGUUUCGACGGAGAGAUCGACCACGGCAUGCAGGUGGUUUCGGAAACAUAUUGGUGCGCGCGACCACGUAAUCCUUUUGGAUCACUACUUGCUCUAGAUCGAGGUUUUCUUUUGUCCGUGGCCUGCGUGUUGGGCGCGUCGGCUGCUAAAAAAAAAAAACAACUUCGUUUCUUACCCCGCAAAAAAAAAAAAACAUCUUCGUUUCUUCUCCCACGAGCCGAGUCCCGCUCGUUGUUUACUUCUCCCGGUUUGAGCUCCCCGGUUUUACUCGUCUCUAGGCCACCAAGGCGGGCCAGCGUACGACGGCUGCAUAGCUAGUGACUUUUAUCCCUUUGAACUUUAGCGAUCAAGUCACUUCGUUUCUUCCCUUUGAACUAAUUAAGGAGCCAGAGAGAUUCAAUUUUCUUCAUACGGACCAGUCAAGGAACUUUUCUGUACGAACACAAAAUCGUGUACGAAUCAAGCAGGUAUGACAUUGAAGUCUUGCAUUUUUCGUAUUCCCCUCCUUUUGUAAUCCUUCAAAUCAAGGAAGUCCGGUGAUUUUUUUUUCCAAUAAGGAUAUCGUACAAUUUUUGUGCAUACUCCCUCUUUAGAGUUACUCCCUCCGUUUCAAAAUAGAUGAUCAUCUAUUUUAAAACGGAGGGAGUAGGCAUGAUGUGCUAAGUGAAUGCCAGAUUCCUUGUGGUGGAACUUCUCUAUCUGGAUUCAAGUUGUAUAUUUUGCAUUGGUGCUCGUACUUUCGAUUUACUUCAUAACUUUAAGGUUUUAUUCCUUCAGUGGUAUAAGCGACAUGCCGGUCGACAACCAAGUGUGUGUGGCUAGCCAGGGCUCAAUCUCAGUGCUAUAGAUUCCACAUACUACUCUCUCCGUUAUGAAUUGCUUGUCGCAUAAAUGGAUGUAGUAUCUAGACAGAUUUUUAGUUUUAGAUGCAUCCAUUUCUACAAGGCGGAGGGAGUACUAUUUUAUGCUCUCUCUGUGUAAGGUGCUUGAAAACGAUAGACCAGUCGAUGGGAACAUGCUGCCAAUAAUUCAAGAGCAUAUAUAUCCGCACUCCUCCCGACACUUGGAAGGAAAAGCACACUGAGGAAGUGCGCAUCUAUCCCUAGAGCCGACGGCGGCUAAAUUUGCUGAAUGCCAAUGUGCUGGCAGACGACAUGCAUGACGAUGACGAUCGAUAUACCGCGACACACACAUACUCCCUCCGUUCCAAAAUAGAUGACUCAACUUUAUACUAACUUUAGUACAAAGUUGGGUCAUCUAUUUUGGAACGGAGGGAGUACGUACUAUGUAUCGUGAUGCCGGUGACGACCGGCCGGUAGAAUCUGCUGUAUAUAUAGUCUCUUGCGUAGAGUUAGCCGAGAACACCCAUGUACUCAUAUGUACCGCGUAGACACAUACAUGCCAUGUAUGCACCCCUGUCAACGGGGAUGCACGAUGCACUGCCGGGAGCACAUUUCGCCUUGAUAAAAUAGUACAAGAAAAGGUACUCAAAAAAAGUACAAGAAAAGAAACAAGGCUAUAACCUCGCAAAAAAAAAUAUGAUAAGGCUGUAGAUAGUUUAUUUCCUACUCACUCCGUCCGGUAAAGAGUGUUCCUGAAGCAAGUUCUCCAGACUGGCCCCACCGUACAUGAUCCCACGGUGUCCCACUGCACGGCGGGGUCCAAGCUUCUGGAAGAGACAGAAAGCACCGGGCAUUGUUCGCGCAAGUUCGACGCCCCCAGCCAAGCUUUCAUUAAAAAAAAACGUUCGACGCCCCAACGACCAGCCCUUCCCGCGCUCUGCUGCGAAGCUUCCCGCACGUACAUGAGGACCGGUAGGAAAUAUUAUUAGUUAAGAUGUUAGCGUCAGUUUUAGACUAACAUAGCAGUUAGGAUUCCCUAUAGGCUAACUACCUACAGUUAGCGUUGUCCAUACGCUGUGUAUGGCGAAGGGACAUCAUGCCUGUUUAAACAGGCACAAUCAUUGUAACCGACGUUGUAACACGCCGGUUCAGAUGGUAUAUAAGGCUGAACAGUAACAUCAAUAAAACUACUCCAUUCACUUCAAUCUCUUAUUUCUUCUCAAAGACGUCUCCCGUAUUCCGGCCACGUGGCGCGACCGGAUUGGUCAUGUACAGAGAGUUCGCGUCAUCCGGCACCGAUCCGUCGCCGUCGGCCUCGGGAUAAGGUGGUGGUGAUGUGACGUUCGUGCGGCACAAGGCUCGGAACGUACGUGUGGACCGCGUGGCGUGAUCCAUUUGUCGAGCGAUCAGGGUGUGACAUGGUCAGCCCUGGGUCGGCCAUUUCCUUCUCGAUCAAGAUGUGUGCGUUGCCUUCAUUGGUCAACCCAAAGGCUUGGAUGGAGGAGCAUGAUUAUUUUCUUUCUAGGACCAUGGCUUGGAGACAUUUUUCACAGUGUGACAUGUACCGAAGGUAUAUAGCAAAAAAUAAUAAUUAAAAGAAGAAGGUAGAGCCAGGAGUAUAUCAGUAUAUACGUGCUUGCCUUGUUGUAUUUUGUCAAAAUUCAUAAAAAAAAGAAAGAAAAAAAAGAGAGAGGAAAACUGCGUGCAGCGCGACGGCCGGAAGCUUCUGGCGCCCUCGCGACGGACCGGGCAGGCACACCACAAGUUGGAGACAAGUACCGCACCGAUGCCCCGCCGCUUCCUCCCUCUCCUUUUUUCCUUCCACACGAAUCAACCAACCGAUCGUCCACGCGUGCGUCGCACCACCCUAUAUAGCCUCCGCCUCGCGUCUCACCCCUCCCAUCACCGGUAUCGAAAUCCAUCCAUCCAUCCAAAGCAGCGGAAGAAGAAGAAAAGGAAAAGAGAAAAAUCCAUCCGGAAGCGCGAGCAAAGGCCAAGGCAGCUUUGCGUGCGAGGCGAGGCGAGGCCGCUCCGAUUCGACAGACGCAGGGCAGGGAUGGACGCCUUCUACUCGACCUCGUCGGCGGCGGCGAGCGGAUGGGGCUACGACUCGCUCAAGAACUUCCGCGAGAUCUCCCCCGCCGCGCAGUCCCACCUCAAGCUCGUACGCGCCCCCCUCCCCUCCUCCUCCCCCUCUCCCUCCGAUUGCAGAUAAAUUUGGGGAAACCUUUCCGUCCGUACGUAGAUUCUAGGGUUUCGCGUACGGACGCGGCCGCGGGUUUCCGCGCGGGCCGUCGAUUUGCGCGGCGGCAAUGCGGCCGGUGCUGGGCUGUUCGUUAGCGCUGGACGGUUCGUUCCCCGCCGAUUCGGUGGGUUGGCGCUCGAUUUCGCGCUGGAUUGUUAGCAUUAGGUCUCAUCUCGUUGGUUGGUUAGAUUGGGGGAGUUGCUCACCUGCUGUGGUGAUUAAUCGCGUUCGCUUGGAGAUCCCAAGCGCCAGUUCUGCCGCUCUGUUCGGAAAUUUCGGGGAACGCUACCUGAUGACGGGGUAGGCGUAGAUUUCCCUAGUAUACGCUAGGUGGUUGCCUGCGUAUACGCUGUGCUAUUGUGACUGUUUGUGCAGAGUAUGCCCCCCCAAACGUAGAAUCAUAAUGGAUGCUUUUUUUCAUCAUUCGUUAUGCAUAAUUAUGAGCACUUCUCUUUGAUUUCCUUCCUUCUCUCUCUCUCUCUCUCUCGGUAGGCAUGGCAGGGUAUGCCCCCCCAAACGUAGAAUCAUAAUGGAGUAAUUUUCAUUUAUGUCGUUAUCAUUAUGUCGUUAUCAAUUAUGACUACCAGUUACUCCCUCCAUCCCAAAAUUCUUGUCUUAGAUUUGUCUAGAUACAGAUGUAUCUUGCUUUUUCCUCGUUUCUUCAACGAACAGUUGUGCUUGUCAUGCAACAAUUUCUGUAUUACACGUUCCUACCAAGCGUCCUUGUCAGAAUGGAUAUGCUAUCGUUGGCUUGGCAAAUUCUUGUGCUGUUAAUCCUGUCGUUUCCUCUAGCACUCCAAUCAGAAAAUUCCACUGAUGCUACAAAAUUCCACAGAUGCUACUUGGCUGGGCAUAGUUUUGGCUGUAGAUUUGUUUGUUCUAGCUAGUUGCUGUGGAUGCGUGUCUGAACCCUCGGCAGAAACUGAAUGCUUACAUGUCCUAGUUAGAGUGGUUGUUAAGUUUUCCCUUCCCCUAUUUCCUGAAUGAGGUGCUCUUGUUGACAAUUUCCUGCUAUUUCCUGAAUUGGUUUCGCGCACACGAUGCGACGCGACCGCAGAUUUUUGUGCGAGUUCCCUGUGAGGGGAUUUGUUCGGUGCGGUUGCAAUGCGGUCGGUGCUGUGCUGCUCGUUAGCGCUGGCUGGCUGGUUCGUUCCCCACCAAUUUGGUGGUUUGGAGCUCGAUCUCGCGCCGGAUUGUGUUUCUCCCGCUGGAUUAUUAGCAUUACGGUUGAUCUCCCGCUGGAUUAUUAGCCUUUGGGAGUUGCUGACCUGCUGUGGUGAUUAAUCACGUUGCUUGGAGAUUCCACCAGGUGCCAAUUCUGCCGCUCUGUACAGAAAAUUUGGGGAUCUGGAAUGUAGAAUCAUAAUGCACUGGAUGCUUUUCAUCAUGCCAUAUAAUCAUUAGCAGUUCUCUUUGAUUUCCUUCCUUUUUGUCCCUCACGAUUUACGAUUGGCAAGUAAACCUGAAAUAUGCAUCGCUGAUCACGUAAAUGAUCUAGAGAAAAUUCCCCACGCUCUCUCUGAUUUGUUUCUCUCGAUGGACUAGGGCCUCCCCUCCUUUUCAGCCGUUUCAACCAGCAUGGAUACCUUUUCUUCACCAAAGAAGAGGUCCAAAGCAAAGGCUCGAGGACGAUUCAGUGUCAAAAAAGAUAAAAUUACAAAGCAGAUCUCCUAGACAACAUCUACAGUAGAUGGCAAAGAAAAACCUUUAGAAAAGAACACAAGAAGCCGACAAGGCCGAAUGAAAAUCCGGCUGACGAUUUACCAGUGUCGGCUUCUUGUCUUUCUUCUGAAGGUUUCUCUUUGCCGUCAACUGUUGAUGUUGUCGAUCUGCUUCGUAAUUUUCUUUUAUGCUCAGUCGUCGUCGAGCCUUCUUCUUUGUGGACCUCUUCUUUGCCGAAGAAGAGCUAUCCAUGGCUGGUUGCAACGGCUGCAAAGGAGGGGUGGCCCUAGUCCAUCGAGAGAAACAAAUCAGCUUUAAAUACGCGAGUACAUACAAUUAAGCAUGCAGCAAAAGAAUGGUAAAACAAAAAUCACAGCAUAGAGUGAUCCAUUGAUGAUGAAAAGAGGCGAUUCCAUGCGGCGGCGGCUCGCUCCUGCAAGCUCUUGUUGUGUGAUGUGAACAAAAAGAAAGAGAGCGUGUCGGAUAUGGGCACUGCUAGGGAUCAUACUUCUCUCAAUCGUUGAUGUGAUAGUAAAACGUGGGCUGGCGUGGGCUGGGUAGCUAGUACUUCCCUCAAUCACGGUCAUGGUUAUAGCAUCUACUGGAGAACCAGAAAAGCUUCCAAAAUUUUAGGAAACUGAUCACGGUCACGAGUUACGAGAUACGAUUGUUAUCAGAUUGAUUAUGGGUAGUUGAAGUGACUCAAUUCUGCUGGGUUUUCUGCAGGUUUACCUGACCCUAUGCUUUGCCCUGGCCUCAUCUGCCGUGGGUGCUUACCUGCACAUUGCCCUGAACAUCGGUGGGAUGCUGACAAUGCUUGCGUGUAUCGGAACCAUUGCCUGGAUGUUCUCUGUGCCAGUCUAUGAGGAGGUUUGUCUUGCCUUCUUCUCCUGACCAUGAUAACUUGUUUGAUUACCGCACGGGUAGAAAUUCACAAGAAGUUGUCGUCCUGGAAAUGUCAUGACAUGGUGCGCUGACUUUGUUGAUGUCUAUCUCUUUGUGAACAGAGGAAGAGGUUUGGGCUGCUGAUGGGUGCAGCCCUCCUGGAAGGGGCUUCGGUUGGACCUCUGAUUGAGCUUGCCAUAGACUUUGACCCAAGGUAAAGACAAAUUUGCUUUUGUUGUUGUUCCAAAUGUCCCUGUCUCGUUAAGAAUAGUUUAGGAGUAAACCCCGUGGCAGCGAAACCAAGUUGGCCAUGACGUUUGAUGAUAUGUCAUGGGAGUGCGACAUGUACUGUCUGUGAUUGGAUUAUUGGAUAUCUGCUGAUUAUGUGUCCUUAUCCAUCGUUGUCUGGUUGUUCUUGCAAGCAUUAUUAGUGGUUGUGUAGGUGCCAAAUUCUGCUUCUGGAUUAGUCUAUUGUUCUCCUGAGACCCUCCUUUUUCCUACAUUGUCUGCUCUUUUGGAUGGGCCACUGUUAGUCUUUUAAGGGAUGCUAUCUAGAUCCACAGUUUGUACUGGGCCCUUCCUCGUGGGGUUUGGACCCUGUGUUUGGGCCUGAUCAUGGACUCUUUGGGCCUUCAUUUUUGUUAGUGAUGCUGAAUUUGUGUACCUACAGUUCUAGUACAAAAUCGAUAUGACUUAUUGGUUGUUACUUGGACAAGCAGAUUUGCUGGUGUUUUUUUGCAGAGCUUUGCUUUUAGUUUGUUGCUGCUCAAUGCUCACCUAUGUUCCACAUUCCUGUUAUUCAUGUUGGCUGACAUAAACUUGCUUGUUGCUCUGUGGUACCAGCAUCCUCGUGACAGGGUUUGUUGGAACCGCCAUCGCCUUUGGGUGCUUCUCUGGCGCCGCCAUCAUCGCCAAGCGCAGGGAGUACCUGUACCUCGGUGGCCUGCUCUCCUCCGGCCUGUCGAUCCUGCUCUGGCUGCAGUUUGCCACGUCCAUCUUUGGCCACUCCUCUGGCAGCUUCAUGUUUGAGGUGAGAUACACACUGUGAGGAACCCGCCACACAACGGAGAUCAUUCAUACAGUAUUUUUGACCGAAUGAGCAUGAUACAAACAUGGUUUACGUGCCCUGCAGGUUUACUUUGGCCUGUUGAUCUUUCUGGGAUACAUGGUGUACGACACGCAGGAGAUCAUCGAGAGGGCGCACCACGGCGACAUGGACUACAUCAAGCACGCGCUCACCCUCUUCACCGACUUUGUCGCCGUCCUCGUCCGGAUCCUCAUCAUCAUGGUGAGAACCCUAGCCACCUCGGCUGCCUACUCAUCCUCCACCUUACCUGGUUGCCAAAAUUCUAUUCGUUCUGAUAUGAUCUGGUCCAUUGUGAUGGCUGACGGUGCUGUGUGCCAUUGCAGCUCAAGAACGCAGGCGACAAGUCGGAGGACAAGAAGAAGAGGAAGAGGAGGUCCUGAACGUGUUGUCCUCUGCACAUCGUAGAUACCAUCACCGCCGCCGCCGCUACUGGUACCACCUCCACUGCUAAGUACUUGUAGGAAUUAAGCUGGCGCAGUAACUUGUCGCCGUGCCACCCUUGUUAAUUCGCGAUCUGUGUCGUGUGAACCUUGUGUGAGUUUGCUGCUGCUGAUGAAGCUUUUGCAGACGCUGUCUGCGUUCCGGAUCUCUUGCGUUCCUGUUACUGUCUCGAUAAUCGAAACCUGAGACGAUUUGGUUUGGUUGCGAAGAACAUGGCUACGCUCGAUUGUGGCUCGUUGGUUUUAACCUUGUGAUGUGUCUCAUUUCUUUUGAACAAAUUG
rnacentral:lncRNA from 1 species